AUGAGAAUGCAAACUCAAAAUUCAGGAAAGAUGUACACAUAUUUACAACCAAACCAAAUCAGCCUCUCCAUUGGUAAUUGUAGUACAAUAAACAAACAAUAAUGGACCCAAAUGAAUCCUCUCUAUCUCUCUCUCAACUCUCAACAUACACAUAUGAUCCCAGCAACAACAACAACAAAAAAUCUAAAUGGAAUGAAUAAAAAUGCCAAUAAAAUUUAUGAAACUUCCAUAAAUUUAUGAAAGUUCCAUUGGUAAUUGUAGUACAAUAAACAAACAAUAAUGGACCCAAAUGAAUCCUCUCUAUCUCUCUCUCAACUCUCAACAUACACAUAUGAUCCCAGCAACAACAACAACAAAAAAUCUAAAUGGAAUGAAUAAAAAUGCCAAUAAAAUUUAUGAAACUUCCAUAAAUUUGACCUAAUAAAAGCUGCUCACAAAAGCCAAACUGACCAAAACAACAACUGAAGACACCAACACACUCGAUGCCGUUACACCAUACGCUCCGUUUCCUUUCGGUGCUGUUGAGUUCUGGUUCGACCCCGGUGGUGGUGACAUCACGUCCCCGGACGGAGUAUCUCCGGACGGUGUUGGUGCGGUCCCGACAGAGCUAGGAGGAGACGAGGUUGGAGUAGUAGUGGCUGCCGGAGCUGGGACUGGAGAUGUUACUGGGUUAGUACUUGGGGCAUGUGAGGGUGAUGAUGAUGAAGAUGGAGCAGUUGCUGGAGCUGGAGCUGGGGCUGAGCCUUGUGGUGGCGCAGCCGAAGGAGGAGUUUGACGCUGCCUGACGGCGAGAACGAUGAUGAUCAGCUUCUGACCAUUGGCGCAGUUACCAUCUUGGCCACUGAUGAAGUAGAACGGUCCAGACCUAUCAAACUUGAACUCGGAGUUGCCCUCGUCUAGUUUCUGAAUGGGGUUGCUUGUGUUGCAGUUGAAGAAGUUGUCCUUGUUCACCACCAGAACCGAGUCCGAUCCUUUGUUGUACUUGAAAUCUGUCACAUAUAUUUCCAUUCAUCAAAACUUAAUACCAAAUUGAACAAACCAUAUUAAUACAUGAUCAGACUCGUAUAUCGCAAAGAAGAAAUGAAAAAGAGAGAUAAGCAUAUAUAUCUUACAGAGAGUGUCAUUGACUUGGAACCUAUUCCUCUCAGCCCAGUGAUUGUAACUCUCAGAUGGUUUCAAAACCCACCCAUCUCUUCCACCAACGUAAAACUUGUAACCUUCUGUUGCAGGGAGAAAACACGUCAAGCAAACCAAGAACAAGAGGCACAGAAAUCUCCCAAACUCCAUGAGAGAAAAUCCGAAAUCCGAAAUCCGAAAUCGGAACCGAGCUAGAUCACAGGACUAGUGUGAGCGAAGGCCACCAAUACUUUAUAUAACAGAAUAUGAUGUAUAUCCGCAGUGAAAAUGAUUGAAUUUGAUACAGACUCACAGAGAACGAGAAAAUAGAGAAUGGAAACUGAAGCUAGGGGUGUCUUGGGUUAUAAAGACUUGGGCGCAAGUUUUUUACCGUUGCUAUAAGCUUGUGUGAACAUGGUAAGGAAGGAACGUACGUUUAAAUUUCAGGUAUGGUAUGAUUGCAUGCUGUAGAAACCUUACACGUGGCGUGAUCAUAGCGACUUAACGGUCGUAUUUUGUUUGAUUUUCAAUUUUUAAGAAAAAACGGAUGUAUUGGAAACAUAAUUGUGGUGUGUUAUGUAUGAGUUGUUGAAGAAGCUUAAAGGUGAUGAGGGAAGGAUCGAGUUGGAUUGCAAGAGGAAUUACUAUAUGUUACCGUUUUCUUUAAUCGCAUGUUUCUCGUUUCUUGUUGUGGUAAAAGUAUGAUCUAUUAUGUAUGUUUAUGAUUCUCAACGGACAAAUUACAACAAAAGAGCAUGAGAAAAAGAGAAAUCUACAUUAUCGAGCAAACCAGAUUAACUGGUUUAAGUGCCUCAAGUUUUGUGAGAAUAUAGAAGGUAUAUUAAGUUUGCAAAAUGUACACAAAACCUUAAAACCAGCUAGAGUUAGGAAAGCCACACAAAGCAGAUGACCUUGACCAAAAAGUUCCACAGAGAUAGAGUUAGGAGUUGGGUUAAGAAGUGUAGCUGUACUCAACCAUUUCCACGUACCACUACUAAACUACAACUGACUCAUCUUUUUUCCUUUAAACACUUUUUGUUUUUUUUUUUGAUUGAACCUUUAACACUUCUUGAUUAUAAGUUCUUUCUUUACAUUCAAAUAAACUUUGACAUGAUCAGAUUAGCUACUGCAUCAAGGAACCUGCACGUAUUGAUGGCUCGAAAUGGUUGCUGCGAUAUUUCAGUUUGCUAUAUCAAUGGACUCGGGGAAACAUUUAUAAACAAAUGAUGCCAAAUACUGGAUUACAGAUUACAAACUACAAAUUCCCUCAGCUCUAUCCAAAGAAACAAGAAUACAUCAAUUCAUAUUUCUGUUUCACCAUUUUUCAAAGGAUUCUACAAGAAAUGCUCAAAAUACAAAUAUUACAGACACCUGAUAUCACAAUAUAAUGGGAACAGAAAACGAUUGUUGUGAAGAAAAAAUUAACAGAAACCAGAAGAGUAAAAAGAAUUAGAAAACUGAUGAUAGAUGAGAGAAUUAUGAAUUGCUUUUCAGCCGGUGGCUAAAUGUCUGGGAGAGCUGUUAAACAUACUGUGCCACAUGAAAGCUCUUGAAAGCACCAUCUCAAGUUCCUGGUCAGUCCAGUUAUGAGUUGGUAGGUGUUGAAGAAACAUGACCAACUCUUGGAAAUCAAGCUUCUUGAGCUCCUCUGACCACUGAAUCAAAUCAGAGAUUAAAAUUAAGUUCUUGACAUCCAUUUCAUUGCCAAAUCAAAAUCUGAUGCAAACUAAGCAGACCAUGGAUUUAUGGCAGUAACAGAAAAUAGGGUAUAUGGCCAAAUAUUACAGUUUAGUAUCCUAGCUUAGAUGGCAACUUUAACAUCCGGAAACUAGGUCAUCUCGUUAUUAGAAGACACAAAUAUACUCCUCAGGUCCAUCAACUUUCUUCAGUUCCAUAGAUGGCAUUUCUUGCCAUCAACAUUCUGUGGAUCAGAAUAAUAUCUGGAUGGCAUUGAGAAAAACCAGCAUAGGUACUUGGCUAUGGCAGUCAAAGAAUUCAAGGUGUCGCAGAGGAAAAUAGUAGAAAUAUUGUUUUUCAAAGGGAUAAAUUUGAUUUGCUGGAGAGAGAAAUAAAUAAGUGAGACUAACUGAGCAAGUCAUGGAGUGUAUAAAUACAACCACUGAAAAGAUAUGAGGGUAAAUUCGGCAGGUUUAAUUGAGAACAAAGAAAAGAUAUCCGCUGUUUGUGUUAAAAGAAAAACAAGUGUGGAACAUGCUGCAUGCAAUGACUGCAUAUAAAAGAAUUCUUCAAAACCUUCUAUACAAGGACUUAACAAUGAGAUUGUUUUUAUCAUAUAUGGUGCGAAAUUUUCAUUAAUUUCUUUUCCAUGUUCAAAACUUGAAAACUUCAUCAAAUAGGCAAAGAAAACACAUUGUUAAUAAACAAAUAAAUCCACACACUCUUUCUUAUUAAAGCCUAACAAUAGACACAUUCCAAUCAAAGUCUGAUAAAUAGACAGAUUUCCUUAUGUCAAAACCUUACAAGUAACAUAUAUAAAUGUGUGCGCAAGGAAAGUGUACACAAGCAAAGUUUGAUCUUACCGUUAAAAGAAAACUGGCAAAAAUAUACACAAGGAAAUCUGGCAAUGCAUCUCCUUCAGCAAGAUAUGUAUCCCACAGGCGGGAAAUAAGUUGGAAGGGAAUCUAAACAGGGCAAUAAACAGAAACUGCCAUUAGCACAGGAUAAAGGAAAAAAGCACAUGGUCCUGUUAAAAUUUGGAUUUCAAAAAUAACCAAAAUUAUGAUCACUUUGUACACAGCAUAUGAAUAUAAGAUAGAGAAAACUAGAGAAUAAAUCUCUAAUAACAAACCUCACGUAUUAAAAGACAGUUGAACCACCGGAAAGCAAACUGAAGAAAUUCCAGCCCUUGCUCCUCCACAUGUCUAGAUACAGGUUCUAGUGCAACAAGGGAAAAGAUAACGAGUAAAUACAUGAAAGAUGAUAUUUUGAUAUGCUUCUUGCAUCCCACCGUUUGAGGAAUUGCUAUUUCUUGAAGGUAUUACACACAAAAGUCUUUAUUAUAUAAGCAAAAGUUGGUCUGUCCUUUAACAAAACCAGCUUCCUAAAAUAUUCAUGCAAGAAAAAGGGUGCAAGAAUCAGGAAAAAAAGAAGAAGGUUUACCAUCAAUUCGCCUGACCAAUUCCUUUAGCUUGAACACAAGCCUCUGGAUCCCUGGCUGAGCAAAUGUGUAAUGGUCUUGCAUACCAUCAAGUAGCUUUGAUAGGCACCAAUAGCAAUCAGCUUCUACUGUAGAUAUUUGAUCGGAAGACAGAUCAGAGAUUGACCAACUAUCCACACUACCGUCCAAGUAUUCUGACAAGAAAACCACAAGAAAGGGAGUAACAAGAUCAUUUAUUCCCUGAACAUAUCCACUUGCAGGAUGUCGAAUUGCCCUGAAAGACAUCAGGAGAGGUAAGUUUGAAAACAUAUCCCAUAAUCCUAACAAUUAAUUAAAUAUACAAAAGAAAAAAGCAUCAAAAUGAUGGCCUCUAGAGACCAUAUUCCACAUCGAAAUCAUCAGUGGAAUCCAAUAAGUGCCGAAAAUAUUCACUUUGCCACAUACAGUUUACUUAUAUAAUAUUAGCAUUGCAUUGCAUAUUUUAACACACAUGAUCUCGUUGUUGUCCUAGAGCGAUUCUAAAUUAUAGAGAACUAGAAGUCUAGAACAGACUCCUUAUCAAGGACCAGGAUUUAUCGGCUGCUAAGGUUCUCAAUUAGGGGAAAUGAGGGCCAAAAAAGAUGUCGACUUAACUGAGGCUAGUCAUUGGAGCAUAAGAGGCCUGUUACUACUCACAAUUCAUGCAUGCAUGGUUCACAUCUACAACCGGCCACACCCAUUGUAACACAUAACAUAUAGAAAUAUAGUAACAAUGCUAGACCACCCAGUGGAGCCCAAUCAAGGGUGAACCAUUUUAUUAACUAGCUCUGUGACUCUGUGAGUGUUCUUCAUUCUCCAUAAAAUCCCUAGUUGGUCCAAUAUUUGGCAUCCAAAAAUAUGUUGGCAUAAGUGAGAAUUAUAGUAUGAGAAUCAUACCCCUUACCAGUCCUCUUAAUGCACAUUGUCAACCAACAUUAAACCUCCCAGUAUAUAGGGUGUAGAGUUCGUGGUACAUGUAAACCCAAACAAGUCAUUUCCAACUUAGCACUGCUAGCACAGGUAGAGACAGAUUCAGGCUAGAACUACUUUGGUACCUAUAGGGCACAGAAAGAGAAUGUCCUUGACAUUUGACAAGUAAUUAAACGCAUCUGAAGAACAGAGCUGUUAAAGCAUUAUUGUCAUGGUUUUCAGGCCGAUGCAAGGCACUAAGAUGGUCAAUGAUGCAGGAAGAAAAUGUGUCUCAUAUUCUAUUCUAAUAAAGCUGUCUGGAUUAACCCUACAAAUAUGAGAAUUGGUCUGGAAUUUCUACAUAACCCAUCCCGUUUAUACAGUAGCAGCAUUUACACUUCACUCUAAGGAAUCAGCAGACCAAAUAGAUGAAAGCAUAGCAUACAACAUUGAAUUUGUAAAAUUCAAAUAGUUGAAUGAAAAUAAGAAAGUAUGUAAUAAGAAAUAGGUACCAUGUGUAAAGGAUGCGCUCCAAGGAUUUCUGGACUUGCUCUUGCUGAAAAAAAGACACAUCCGGCACGGUUCUUGGGCAAUCAACAGAAAUCUAACAAGGAAAAAAACUGUAUUUGUCAAAACCAUCAAAAAGAGUGUAUUUGCGUCAACCUAGAUUAAUAAUUAUAUAUUAAAUAAGUACCUGACGAAGCAUGUUUAUCUCAUCAUCUGAACGCUCAGUAUCUGGAAUGUCAUAGUAUUGAGAAACACAGUCAAGAUACUCGAGGCGCUUCCUUCUUAGAACUCCCUCCCUUCUAUCUGAAUUAGAUGGUGCAUAUCCCUGUUGUAAGUUAAUAUUUUAAUUUCAAACAAGCAAAAACAUCAACUAGAUAAAGCUAACCCAGGUUAAAAAUAGGAGAAAUAAAAUUAGCCUCUCUAAGACCAGAAGCUAAUUUUAAUACUAAUUCCAAUUACCAAAACAAUUGUUAUAAGAAAACAAGAAAAAAUUAAUAGAAUAGUGAAGGAAAGAAGUCACAUAUACAUGAACCUCAGGUUCAACACAUGGCUGAGCAAUGGAUACAACUGCAUGAAACUAAACACCUACUUCCCCGUUCUGCAUAGAUGUUUGUAACAUAUAAACUUUUAAAAAAAACCACGAAAACCAGCAAUUCUAAUGGGGGCACAAGGACAACCUUGCAGGUUCUAUAUCACUAAUGCUCCCUAUCGCCUGGUUAGGGAACCAAUUUCUUUUGUCAGAUUCCAAAUUAGGGAGUUUGACUGGCCUCUUAGGCCUUUCAUAAGCCUAGUAUACCAAAUGGAAGCCAUAGAAAGUGUAUAAUACUAUUCAGUAUUCACGUAUAUUGCUGACCCACAUAUAUUCAUGUCUAUCGUAGUCAAUACUUCUAUAUUUUUGUCGCCUUAAAAAAGCUAAAUAUGUAGCUUAAAUAUCUGAUCGAAGUUCCAUAACAUAUCCAAAUCUUUUCAUAUUGCUUCUAGGAGUUUCAAACCAUUGAGCUUACCAAAAGAAGCCUCCACACAUCAGGUCGCAUAUAUGGUGGUAUGCCACUCCAAGCCAACUCACGCAACUUCUCUACACAAAUAAAAAAAUAAAAAAUAAAAAAUUAAUUAAAAAAAAGGAAAGAUAUGAACACCACAGUUCCAUUUGCAGUAAAAGAAAAUUUGUUGAAGAAAUAGAUCUAUCAACAGAGUAAUAUAGAAAACCAAAAUCAAAUGCUUCAUUAUUCCAGAAUAAUAUUAACAACUGCACAAAUUGAGAUUUCAGUUAAUGAUCCCAUGAAUCACAGCAAUAGGUAAAUACACAACUGGUCUAAAAUGCAAAAUAACAAAACCCAGAACCCAGGGCAUCACUUGUAUCUCUGCUUAUAUUUGUCUAGUGGUGGGAGAUAGGGAGCACAUUAGAGGUCUAGUGGAGAGAGGGGAUUUUGCAUGUGUUUAUAGAUUAUCUAGCUCUCAUAAAGUAUCAAUAAUAUAUCAAUUGUCAAUAAUUCUCAAGUCUCCGUUUAUUUUUUCCAAAAACAGGAGCUUUUAUAUCUAUCCAAGCAUUUCAAAAGAAAAAAAAAUUAUAUCUAUCCAAAUGUGAAUGACUAGGACAAAGGGGAGACUUCACUUUACUCUUUUUGAUUGAGAGUAGAGCAAAUAGUAUUGGAAACUUCAGGUUCUGGGCUGUUGCGUGCAAGUCUUAUUAUAAGUGGUAAACUGGUGAAUCGUUCAACUCCCUCCAAAAUUUGAACCUAUAUCACCUGAUCUGGAAGGCUAAAAUAUGUGAGGAUAUUUGUUUGGAUUAUGGAUUAUGGUAGAGUAAUACAUGUAGGAAGAUUAUGAGGGUGAAUGUUAGACUACAUGAAACAAGGGAUAAUAUUGAUCAUCAUCUUUUCCAUUCUUUUAAAGUUUGAAAAACUACCUUUAUGGAAGCAGCAGCUGGUUGUUCAGAUUCUUUAGUGAUAUCUUAUGAAGUUCCAACUGACAUGUGAUUCAUCUAUACUUUAAACUUAUAAAAGAAAUAUACUUCAAUAUCUCAUAGCAACUACUAAAGCAACACCUGGAAGAUGCCCAGCAAUAUCAAUAUAACUUCAUCAAUAGAUAUCAGGGAGAAAGAACUGAGAGAAAAAUGUAAAGAACAUGUUAUCGUACCUAAUAUCACUGUGGUCCCAGAAAGGACCUUAGUGAACUUCAUAACUCGAGCAGAAUCAGUUGCUCUAGCACCAAUAACGGAUUUCUGAGGACCUUUGGAAGUAUUCUCAACAUUCGAGGUUGAUAUUUUUAACUUAUUUACACUUUCAUUGGCGUUCGGCUCACUUGGGCUCUCAAAUGCUUCCUAGUUCAGAAAUAAAGAAUCAGUUUUUCCACGCUCAUCGAAUUCCUAGGUUUCCAAAAUUUAUAAGACAAAAAGCAUAUCAAAUCAAACCUCCAAUGCCUUUGAUAUGCUAACACUUGUUUCAGCAUCAUUGUAUGAGAAGCUCCUUGCAUAAUUUAGCGCGGGUUCUUGUGUGUUUGAUUGAUCUACCAGCUCUGAUCUCCUCGUCAGCAAUACUUUACCAGGCAUACUGCGACCUUUGAGCAACCUAGACAAACAAAUAAAUAUUAAACUAAUUACAAUCAACACAAUUGAUCUUGUUCAGAAUAGCUAAUUUGAUAGCUACAAUCCAGUAAAAGUAAAAACUACCAUCAUCAAAUCGUAUCUACCAUCACCAAAUUUCGGCUAUAUGAAAUCAACUUUACAUUGCACUAACAAAAUCGAUGGCAGGAAACUAAGUACAAUAAAACCAAACUCUCACAUCCAACUCUAGAUUUACAUUGCCAGAUUGCUUCUGUUCUGCCACAUGUUCCCACCAAACCAGAAAAGCAGAGCACCCAAUUUCUCCAAUUUACAGAGAUUUCACAAAUCAAAUAACUUUUCCCACUGAUUGCUAUCUAAUGCAUUCCAAAUCAACAAAGCCAAUAUUCAAUGUCUCAUCUAUUGGAAUUUCGAAAUCAAAAUCUAUGCUUUGGGGUGUUGGACAUUCUAAUAAUACAAAAGGCAGAAGCUUCAUUUCGAAAUGGGGUAUUCAAAUCUGAUGAAGAGCAAAGCCAAAAUGAGUAAGGAAUGAGAAGUGAGAUGAAAAUUGGGGUACCCUUGAACAUUUCUGAGGGUCUGGUUGAAUCUUGAUUCAGGGGUUGAGAUGGAACUUUCUUGGGAGUGAUGGUCUUCUCCACCAGAGCUUUGAUUGCUCUUGUUGUCGUUGCUGUUGUUCCUCAUGGUUGUGUGUAUCUACAAUGAGAUCAUAGUGUAUCUGUUCUGUUUAUUGGUCUUUUUCUCUCAGAACUUUUACCCAGAGAAAUAUAGGAAAAGCAAAAAUCGAAAAGAACAGAUAAAAUUUUCUAAAAUUCACAUACAAAAUAACAAGUUCGUGCUUCAGGCUUCUUCUUCUUCUAUUUUUUUUCCUCGUGUUUUAUUUUUAUUUUUUGUUUUUUUUUCUUUGUCUUGCAUAUAUAUAUCAGGUCUUUCUAACGAGGAAUCAUUUUUUUUUGUUCAUUUUUAAGGAUAACAACUCAACAUUAGAUAUGUUUUUUUAAUAAUUUUAGAUGGUUGAGAUUAAAUAAUAAAUUCAACACUUUCUGACAAACCUAAACCGUUCAACUUUAUUAAAAGUAAUCAAAGUUUUAGACGACUUAACGAUCACCAAAUCUUCUAAAAACUUGUGAAAAUGAUCUACUCAUAUAGACCUACAAAUUAAAUGGUGGAGAUGUGAUUUUAUGAUCGGAAAGUUCGUUAAAUACCCUAUCCUUAGAAAUAAACAAAAAAAUCUCUUGUUGAAAGAGUCUUAUAUAUAUAUAUAUAUAUAUAUAUUUGUUUGAUUCGUUGUAGCCAGUUUCAGUUGUUGAAAUGAUAACUACUGUGAGAUGACUAUGAUUUGUUACAACUUUAGGGAAAAUUGUGAUGUGCCUUUGUGAAGACUCUCAGACCCAAAUCAUUUUUGUCGAAAAAACAAAUGACAUAUGGUAUUGGUUGAGCCGUUGAGGUGGGAUAUUUAUGAAUAACAACAAAUCACUACAGCAUACAUUGCACAGUCAUUAUGAGGAAAUUAUAUGUAUCAUGGUCUAAAUUUCCGAAGUUACGAAUUGUCACGCAUGUUUAGCUUGAACGAUCGAGAAUCCCUAACAAAUCAAUAAAAUAUAUAUGCUAUACACUUAUGACACCAUAACAAUAAAAGAUGGAAAACACAAGAAACUCCUAAGCAAACAUUCCUACAUCUGGUCCCGGUAUUUGAAUAGCACUCAUAAAAGGUACAUAACAGUGGUACGAUAAAUUAUGUUGCCUGAUAAUCAUCACUGUCAUCACUAGCAUGGGCGGAGAUAAGAAGUGCGAAUGAACCACCCCCAGAAUCGAAGCCCAUCCGCAAUACAUUUACAUUCAUACACAUGCAUCUCUCGGUUAAUCUGUGUCUAAUCUAGUCAUUCAUACACUGUUAACUUUAAUUAGCUAUUAGAUAUAUAUGAUGUACAAUCUUUGAAAAUUAAAAAACUACAAACUAAAACCACAAUUACAUCCACAAGAUAAAGAGUCAAAACGAAAAGCAAAUGAUGAUCCGAUUGGAAAAAUAUUAAAGCGAACAGAAGAGACUGUUUGUAUUGUGGCACGAUUUCUCCACCUUUGUGUCCGGCGAAAAUAAGCUACACAAAUAUGAGUGCAUUUUAUUCAUUCAUGGUCUAUUGGUCUUAAAUCUGUACAUAUAGUAAGGAAAAAUUCUUGUAUGCACGAUGUGUAAAUACACAGUACAAUCUUAACUAUUUAUAACAAUUCAUAUGUUUGAUCACCAUGUUUCUAUAUUAUCUCCUCUAAUUUUGACUAUUCACAUAUAUAUAUAUAUAUAUAUGUGUAGAUACACGCCGUGUACUGAAGAUGCCCUUAUAUAAUAAAUGAGAUUCAUGCAUGACUCCACACCUAGGCUAAUACGUUCCAGAGCACAAUGUGAAGCGUACGACGAAUGCUCUAAUUAUGUAGAUUGCCUUAUAGACGGAGUACGUUAUACUCUUGUUUGGAGCUUAUACUUUUUCUAGGCCUCGAGUCCUUGAGUAAUCCUGAUCCAUAAUCAUGAAAUUUAGGCUUAAUUAAUUAAUCUGAGAGCAAUAUUGCUUAAUGCUUAUCACUAAUUGUCUUGAUGAUAUGGUACGUAUUAACGUAUAAGAUGCCAACAGCUUCAUUCCAUAACUUCAAGUUUUGAACCAAUAGAUCAUCGAUCCAAACUAAGUUUUGAUCACUGAACUAACGCAAAUCUACUCAACAAAUCUCAUACAUAAGUCGCAUGUUCGCAUGGCAACUAUUAGCAGAAGAAAAUAAACUACUAGACAAAUCUAUAUUGAGGAAAAGUACGACGUGCUUUAACAAGUCAAGACUCUUGUGGCCUUCUGGGGUUUUUGUACAGAUCGAAGCCAACAAAAGCAAUCCAGUGAGUAGCCUUACUUCGCUAGCUAGUUUUUUUUCUUCUUUGUGGCUAUUUGAUUUAUUUCAAGGCCAAUACGUUUCUGAUAUAUGUUUACUCACUUGUUGUUUAUGGCUACAUGCAACUUCGUUAUGGUUGAUAAAGUAGUCUGGUUUCACAUCUAAAACCAAUUAACAAUGGGUAAAUACAAGUCAUAUUCCCGAUGUGAGAUUGAUAUCUCAAUAAUGGUCUUUUUUGCUCAACUUAUGCUAUGGAAUCAUGCUUGAACAUACACAGUCAUGAACUACUCAACAUCCUGAGUCCUGAGUUACUUAGGAAUAUUUCUUAGUAACCUUAACCACGUUGUGCAUGUUUUACAACGUACCGAUCAACUAACGUACGUAGUUGGUUAAAUAUAUAUGUCCCUCUCUGUAAUUAGAAUAAGGUGUUUUCCGAAUCACAUAUAUGAUAUAUCUUUCUUCUGUUCUAAUUACAUAGUGAACUUUACGUACACUCUUUACGUACACUCUCCCUCUAUAUAUUUUUGAGCUUUCAGAGAGAAACUAACUUCUUCACAUUCAUUGGAAAUGAGUAUGCGGAACCCUCAAAAAGAUGUUCCACUAAGAUUUUGUGAGUUGCCUCUGUAGGAUGGAAAAGAUCCCAGAACAUAUGAUCCCUUCUAUUGGAGCAGUAGGAUGCGACUGGUAGACAAGGAACCUUUGCGUUAAGAUAGCCGAGGCCACAGCAUGCAGCUUUAGUCUCAUUGAAUCCUGAAACAAAAGCACCAAAUGCGAUUAGCCUUCGUUCGAUCGAGGGUCACAUUCUGUUACGAAACUUCUAGCAUGUUAGGUUAUCCAACUGGUAAUAAAAACAAGAACAUAAAGCAAAGUUUGAUCAUCUAAUCGAGUAAAUCGACGAAUCAUGCACAUGGAAAUUGACAGUUUGGUAAUAUAACAUGAUACACUGUUUGAAAGUAGUACAUUGAUUUUCACUAAUAUAGAAAAUCAUAAGGGAUCGAGAUAGGAGUACCGUAAGAAGAAGGAGUUUGGACGAUGUUACGGAAAAUGCUAUAAGUCUCGAAGAAGGAGUAGUUGAUGCCCAAUGCUGGUUUCAAUUGCUGCAUCAUUGACUUGAGGCCAUCACUAUACUUUAACGAGAUGGAGUUUCCUAACUCAUUGCAGUCUCCUGUUUUACUCCUUCUUGCCGGACAACAUCCAACUGGUCCAGUGCCGAGAAUAACGAAUUUCCGAGCACCAAGACUAUGUAUUCUCUGCCAACAAAAGAAGAGUGGACAACGUUGAGCACUGAAAUUAAGUAUAAGAACAUCAACUAUGCACAUAUGAUCAAAGUUAACUUCUUCUUCUUCUUCUUCUUCUUCUUCUUAUUUUUAUUUUUUUUACCUGCAAGUGUUGUUUAAGGGUAGACAGCAUCAAACUGACAUACUGGUCCGGUGUAUAUUGCUUUUGGGUGUUAGAUGAAUCUAAGUAGCCGAAAACGUCGUUGCUUCCAAUAAGAACAACAUGUAGAGAUUUCGCUAGAUGAGCUUGGGCAGCUUGAGUUCCUAAUUGUUGCUGAAGCUCUGCACACACUUGUGCAUAGUAGCCUACUUGUUUUGUCAAAGGUAGUGACUGACGCUGUAACAAUAUACAGAUAAAAGUAAUUUAGAACAUCACUUAUUCUAACAGCUGAAUUUCACACCCAUAUAUUGGAUUUGAACUAUGGAAGUCUUUUAUUUCAGUAGUUACUUACAUAUUCAUCAUCGGUGCCGUUGAAGAUUCCAGCCCCUCCAGAGGCGAAGCUAACUCCGGCCACGAAGGACCCCUUUUGCUUAUUGGAUUUUGAUACAAGUGACAGGUAUGGUGGGGAAGUUGGCAACCCUACUUUCUCAGCUGCUCAUCAAAAGGAAGUGUUGUUACAUAUAUGUUCGAAUAUAUAUCAGUUAUAUAGCAGAGAACCGUUACAUAACGACACUCAAGGAAAGUGAAACUUCCACUCAAAAAGUACACGCAUAAUAGAUUGAGCUAGCGUUCAAUUUGAUGACACAACAUGCAUGAUACAUGGUGUGAAUAUAAGCAUAUAGAAUGAAUCAAUCAACAUGCUUACAUGCAUAUAUACUUGUUUAGUACCAUGAACAAAAACCUACCCAAGAAAUCUGCAGAAUUCUUGCCAUUGGAAAACCUCCCGGUUGCUUUCUUGGUCGGAAAAUCGAUACCGUUGUGAGGAAAAUUUGCCUUGGCGACAGAGACGGUAAGGUAAUUGUUGUUACCAACAUCCAAUAAGGAGUCUCCGAAGAUGUAAAUAGCCGGAACCGUCGACUGAGCAUCUGAGAAAGCGAUGAACACAGAAAGGAUAAUGGAGAAGAUGGUGAAGAAGGUCGUAGGAGAAACACUGCAAGCUUCCAUGGCCAUGGUUCUGGGAUUUGGUUUGAGAUACUGAGAUCGAUAUGCUUGUGGGUAGUGGUGAUGAAUAAGUGGAUCAAAACGCAACUCUUAUAUAGUGGGAGAUAAGUUGAUGAAGUACUGUAUAUUGUCGUGUGUGAAUAGACCGAAGACGUUUUAGCCGUGUGGGCUCGAUCACUACUACUCCUGAAAGCUCUUAUUUUGGAAUAACGAAAUUAGUUUUGUACUUUUGCCAGUGAGCAAAGUGUUCUUGGACAACUAAUCUAUUUUGUUCAAUAUUGUUUAAGGGGAAUAGAAUCAGAUACUUCUAAAAACCCUGGUGACAAACACAUUCUGUGGUUCGUGGAUAAGCACUAGUACUUGACUCAUUUAUUUUUGACGUAGUUUCUAACAUAUCAAAACGUAAACGAUAUUUCUUACAGAAUUUAGAAGUGUGACCAUGUGAUCAUGUGCUCACUCACAUAAUGUUAUUGGAAUGAUUAACCCAUAAAAGAAGUAGCUUCAUGUGCUAUGUUAAAGUAGAUAAACUCGAAAGUUACCAUUUUGAUUCCAUUUGCGUUAUCACACCUAACUAUGCAAUCCAUGUUUAUAACUGUGUGAGUUACUCUCACUACUAGUACUACCCAACAAAAGUUUGACCGACAACAAAAACAAAUUAUCGUCAUUAUAUGAUCUUUCUAUGACGUUCUCGGAAGCAAACGUCAUAAAUUCAAAUUUCUGCUUAAUUUCAUAUUGUAUAUGUAGAUUUUUAUGACAAUCAUACAUAGUAUGUGACAAUUUUAACGACGUAUCUAACUAAUCUUUAUUUAUAUUAUCAUUUAAAAAAAGUUAAUUUAACAUGUUCUUUUGUUUAUGCUUCUACUUCUUACAUUAACAUGUUCUUCAAAUUAUGCUUCCGAGAAAAAUCUGCGUGCCGUGAAAGAAAGGGCAGCAUGGGUAGCUACCUACCAAUGAUCAAGGGUUGGUGAGUGAUUAAGUUCUUCCGAGUUUGAGGCAUUGACCUCCAUUAAGAGCCCGAUUGGUGAGUGUCACUUCUUCUGGUUCCGUCGGAAUGAAAGUAAGUGGGAAUGGGUUUACUAUUUUUUUGGUGCUCUGGAACAUCAAUGAUAACGAUAUGAACAUAUAAGAACAAGAAAAUGCAACUCGGACAAAAAAUUCCAGGCAGUUGUAGUGAAUCAAUUGACAAAAAAAAAAAAUAUUGUGGAGCAAAUCAAUCCCUUAAAACACGUCGGUAUAAACGUCCAACCAUUUUGGGCCAGUUAGUGAGAAGCCAAUUUUGGAUUGCAAAAUUUUUCCCCGUCCAUAUUGAGUGACAUGACCUUUCUUCUGAAUGGAUAUUAUAUUUUUUCUUUUUAGUAUUGGAAAAUUCUACUCUACAGACCUACAUAAGAUGCCGCCUGCUUAAUUUCAAGGCAAAAUUUUCUAAAACAAUACACCCCCGGUGCGAAUCACGUGUAAAAACUCUUAUCACUGUAUAUAUGUCAUGCCGCACACUGCACAACAUACAAGUCCCUUAGUAUUAUAGUAAGAACGAUAAAUCGAUUAUAAAGUUUGAUUAUUAGGUUUAUCGUUGUCAACUUUGUCUACAAUUUUAAAAUGCUUCUUAGGUUCGUCAGGUUUCUAUUUGUAAAUUUUGAAGAUCUAUUAAUAUAUACUUUGUUGGGUUUGUUUAUCAUACCAUAUGGUAUAACAUACAUACCUAUUGAAUUAUAUUUGAAGACACAGAAGAAUACUUGUACUGUAUUGAGAAAUAUGUCCCUUUUUUAUGUCAUCAUCCUACUUUGUUUUGUUUUAGUAUUAAUUUAGUAGGAUGAAAUUCUUUAGUUUAAUUAGAUUAAUGGUUAAUUUACCUUUACCUUAUUCUACAUGAUUGUACACUUGUACCACACUACCACGUACUUAACUAUAUAUAACAGGGGAAACCAUGCACGUUAAUCGUAUGAUUAUCAAAAUAUAAUCCAGAAAAGACUAUAAGUUGAAGACAAUCGCUGAAAACUAGAUACUUCACAUCCUCAAUAAGGUGAUCAUAUUAAGAUUUAUAUUCUUAACUAUAUGGCAACUAGCUUUUUCACAUUGACCGGAAACGUGUAUCGUAAAGGACCAUAAAGAAUAUAAUCCACAAGCUUGCGAUGAGCUGCCUCAGUAGGGUGCGUUCUGUCCCAGAACAAAUGGUUGCUUCUGUUGCUGCAGUAAGUCGCAAUUGGCAGGCAAGGAGCAUCCGCAUUCAGCUUCCCUAGACCGCAGCAAGCAGCUUUAACCUCAGAAAAUCCUGAAUUACAUAUGUAUAUUAUCACUCGUAUAAUUAGCUAUAAAACUUUUCCUGUCCUCUAAAUCAAUUUCUUUUCGAAAAGGGAUGGAUGUUACCAUGAGCUGUUGGCUUCUGGAUGAAGUUCUGCAUGACGCUGUAACCAUCAAAGUAGGAGUAGUUUAUGCCUUUGAGCUCUGAUGCCAAAUUCUUUAACAUGGACACAAGUGCUUGAUUAUACUUGAGUGACAAUCGAUUUACAUCUUCAUUGCAUUUUCCGUGCGCCUGCUCAUUCCUUUCCGACGGUGUGCAUCCGAUAACCCCAACCCCAAUAAUCGAAAAUUUUCGUCCGCCGUAAUCAUAUAACCGCUGCAAACACGAGCAAUGACUUAAUAUUAUUGGAAGUUUUACUCAUACAUAUGAAUCAUGACAUUGUGUUAACUAGAGAACACACUAGUAUAAUUUUGUUAAUUACUACCUUGACUUGUUCUUUGAAGAUGAGAACAAGGGAGUUCACAUACUGCUGUUGUGUGCUGUUACUUAAGGAGUCAAAGUAGUUGUACAUGUCAUUGCUUCCCGUGAUAAUGAGGAAGAGAGAUUUUGAUAGAUGAAUCUGUGCUCUAGAGGCUCCUAGCGCUUGCACAAGGUCUUUAUGCACUGCCAAGUAGUAGUCUAUUUGUUUUUCCAAUGGUAUGGAAAAGGGCUAGCUUAGACCAAACAAAAAAUCAAGCAGAGAAAAAUUGAUCGUUAGCUAGUGCACACAACUUGGAAAUAAUCGUUAGCUAGUGCAUCCGUUGUUCUUUCACUUACGUAUUGUGGAUCUAUGUCGUUCAAGAUUUUGGAAGCUCCAGAUGCAAAAUUAACGCCGUUGAGGAACUGUGUUCUGCUCUUGUUUGAUUUGGAUGACAUGGAGAGAUAUGGUGGUAUUGUCGGCAACCCCAUUUUCUCAGCUGCCCAAAACUCAAAGAAGAGUACGUAAUUAACUAAUUAAUUAGACAAGAACACUUAAGUAAAUAAGCUCAUUAUUAAUUAUCCACCAACUGCUUAACACCUAAUUAACCAAAUGCACAAGUUACUUAUAUUAUACGACCAACUGCCAAUUUGGAUACGGCAUUUCACUGUUUUGGGAUCCCAAUGUAUUACUGAAAAUUUGAUUGUAAGUUUUUUACUCUGUGUACAUGAAAAAAUAUCUUAUGUCAGAUUGUUUUUUUUAUUAUUUAUUUUUUUAUGAACAAAGUAACAAACAAAAAACUACAACUCAAAAUCUCUAGCUAGCAACUCUCGUUCCCAGCUGAGGAAGCCUUUACUAUGUUAGAUUGCUUGGCCAACCAGUCGGGGGACUAUUUUGAUUCUAAUUGUUCAAGUUGGAUUUUGCUUCUGAGACUAGCUAGUAGGGGUAUUCCGUCCAAUUAACUGUACGUGUAAAUUCAAUUCUGAGUUUGGAAUGAAUUAAUUCAUGAAGCUCGGCAUGCAAUUGCUAGCAGUGCUAAUUAAAUAGCCCAUAAAAACGAAAUCUUCUGACAAUUAACAACUAAUUAUUAACAUUACUAUAGUUUAAACUAGCUAGGGAGAUAGAAAUUAGCCACGAUCCUAAUUAGAAAGACUGAUAGUGAUGACUUACCAAUAAGAUCUGCAGCAUUCUUGCCAUUGCCGAACCUGCCGGUUGGUUUUUUGGUCGGAAAGUCGACUCCAUUGUGAGGAAAGUUUGCUUUGGCAAAUGAAUACUUGAGGUAGUUGUUGUUGCCCACAUCUACUAGGGAGUCCCCAAAAACGUACAUGGCCGGAAUCACACGAGCCUCCGUAACUGUACGAGAGAUCCCGCAGAGCAAGAAGAUCAAGAAGACGGAGACACUCUGAAGGAAAGAACUGAAGGCCAUUGUAUGGAUGAAGUUUGUGAUCUCACUCACAGCAAACAGAAUGCUAUUUCUAUUUGCAGCCUCUGUGAGGCGGUGUGAAGUUUGGUUUAUGCAUAAAGAGGAUAGUAAAUGAGAUGUGUGUGCACACUGUGCACUUUUCUGUGUGAAAAGACAGUAGAAUUUGACCCGACGAAUGGUCAUCCUCUGGGCUACAUAAUAAUAAGUUGCAGAUGCAGUUGUUAGUUGUUAAGAAAUUUAUUGUCAUUCUAGCUGGUAACGUUAUCAUGGUACGAUUGUGCAUGGCAUCCCAUAUUUCCAUUGAUCUUGUUAGAUAGGGAUUUGCUUUUGCAUUCGUUGCGUGCAGCUCGAGUUGUUAAGAGUUAAUAGUGAAAGAACAACAAGAAUUGAAUUGUUGCCUGAAGCCUCAGAAAAAACAUGAAUCAUAUUACUCUACUCUCUUUAACCUGCAGCUAGCUUAAAUGGUGAACACCAUAAUGUCGAUAUCAAUAUCAAAAGAUAGGUGAAUUCUCUCCCUUCUAUUCAUAGCAACGUACAGACAAUUAAAGAUCGAGGGAGCUAGAAGGCUUGCUGGUAAAUUCAUUCAAAAGCUAGCGCUCUCGAUCUGGGCCCUCAUAGAAGCAAACCCUAAAUAUAAUAAAAUGACAUCCUUCCGUAUAAAUCAUAAUCUUCAUAAGCUUUACGUACUAAUGGACUCAUAUAAUGGUCAUGCUAUAUUGAGAGAGCUUAAUUGGCUCCGUCCAUUAAUUGGUUGAGUUCAGAUUAAAUCUUAUGGAGCGCCGAGGAGGUUUGGCGGCUACAUGUUGAUUCUCGUCGUGAUACUUGUAGUUUGCUUAAUUAAGGCCCUAUAGCAGAGCCUUUGCUUAAUUACUUGUAUUGAAUCGUUUCCAAAAAGUUUGGCAUGGCACGACGUACACUUGUUUGAGUGGAAACCCCACCGGAGUUCAGAGCCAAACGUUCACUAGUCCUUAAUAGGUAGGUUGAUGAGUAUUGGGACCUGCAAGACCCAUAUGACAAAGUGUCAGCAUCUAAAGAGUCUGGUGAUCACGAUGUCUGAUAUUGUCGAUGCUUCCUGGCUUACAAGGUGGAAAACCUUGGGCCGGGUCAGUGAAUCUUACUGCUCUCAUGUUGAAAUCAGCUUGGACCGACAUAUUAGUUGGGUUCUUGCUGGCGACACUUUAACAGAUAGGAUAAAGAAUUUCUAUUUUGUAUCAAAAAGUUACCAAAAAUAAACCAUGAUCAAUUCGUUUUUGAUAACUUAUUCUUUUUCAUUUGCUUUGAUUGAAGAUGUGGUUUUAGUCUCCUUUCCAAAUUACUAUGUUCCUUGUCUUUGCACAUUUGCAGUGAUAGGGAGUUGAUGCUCUUCUUUCUUGAUUUCUGGCAACAACGUACCAAAAAUAAAAGUUGGCCAAUGCCCACCUAGCUAGUCAUGGCAAAUGCAAAAUAUGCAAUUGUCACCUCCUUGAUCAGUCCUCACCUCAACCAGUGUCGUCCGUGCUCUCGACUGACUGCUAAAUUGUCUUCAAGCCUCCAGUACGUCUGGCUCCUUCUUGAACUGCAUGUUUGAUUACAGGGUCUUGUUUCUUGUCCUAAAUUGUCUCUGUCCGCCAACCCCUUCUAUUUGAUGAGAUAUAAUCUCUUCACACAGACGCCUUGCCGUGGUGAUCGACCACUUUGUCUUUAGCAUCUCCACCUCUAGCUUCUUUUUUUUUUUUGGUCGAACCACCUCUAGCUUCUUUGGUUUUAGCCGUCUGCUUAGGGAGGUCUUAUUCUAGUGCAUGCCCUAAAACCAAAGCCAGCAUCAACUUGACUAGGACCAAUCUCCGACGUCUUGAACCUGCUUUGUUCCAUGUACCAUCCAUCCACUUCUUCAUUUGGUUAAAGGCCAAUGUUCUUCAUGCAUUUUGUCAUUUACACCUCAUUGAAAAUAUUUUGAUAUGGAGAUUUCUUGUCAUAUUCAUAUGAUCUCUUGAGAUGGAUUUGAUCAGUUAAUUAGAGAUGUUUAAAAGAUUUUUUAUUUGUUAUAUCAUCGAAGUUAAAUUACAACAAUUAAUUUUUCAUGAGUCGAAAAAAAACAACCUAUCAGCCAUUUAUACGAAAGAGACUAAUUAAUUAAUGUCACUAGCUACCUAGCUAGACCAAAUUAAUUGACAUUAGGCCCAACUUUCCGGAGUUAUAUUGAUAAAUGGGGAAUGAUAAUACUGCUAUUCUUCAAGUAUCCCAUUGUAAAUGCUAUGUCUUGCCGGCCAUUUAUCUCUGAGUGUGAUAACUUCAUAACACGUUGAGCUAUAGCUAUGAAUCAAGAAAGAUGAAAUGUUCAGCUCAAGUUUGCUCGAUCAUGUUGAUUGACGAGGAUUUAUAAGAUCGAUUGACAUGAAGCAAAAGAGGCGACAAAUAAAAACUGGAAUACCAACUUUUCAUGUUGCUGGCCAGUGAUAAAAUGGGACAAGUGUAAGGAACCCACUGAGUCUAGAUAUUUUUCUAUGGGUAAUGGGAGAUAUCAUGAAAGGCUGCAAAGUACUUUCAGACCAAAAUGAUCCAGAAAACCUGGUAUAAAUAACAGUAUUUUGAGGUACACUGGACACGACCUUGAAGAAGCAGCAAGCUAGUUUUGUCAUCUGCGCAGUACUCCGGCGCCGGCUGAGAUAAAGCUAGGUCAGAACUCAGAAGCCUCGAUUCGUGGCGAUUACAAUGGUAUGUGUUUACAGUUUACUACACAAGCAAAUUAUAUAGCAAUAAAUUAAAUGGAAAAUGGCAUGGCAUGUAUAUAUUAUAUGUUGAAUUCUCAAAAUGGAAUGAACGAAAACAAAAAAGUAGCAAUAAGAAGAGAGAGGAAUAACCUUAGUAUUCACUAUUCAGAGAUCUUAACUUAUUAAGAAAAGAAGAAACUGUUCGUUCUUUUUCAGCAAUCUGACUUCUUCUUGCGAGGCUAUCUCGUUUUCUACUUUUCUCCAGAUUAAAGACGACUAUUUAACUCUGCAAGAAUUUCUCUUACAAUCCAGACAACGCGCUUCAAUUUUGAAACAUAAUUUGACUCAUUGCUAGAAUUCUAUGAAUCACAGUGCUGUCACAUCUUCAUCUUCCUUUUGGCAAUCAUAACGUACAGUUUUAACUUGUGGGGCGUAGAAUUGUACAACGUAGAUUAUUCCCAGCAAAUCGACCAUGCAUGCUUUAAUUUGUAGAAUUGUCUGAUAUCAUUUGCCAUGCACUAUUCCUUGUGUACAAUUUAUUCUUCCAAAGAAAAGAAAACCGAUCAUCCUCUAGAUCAAAAUAGACAUCAUCGAUCCCUCAUCAUCAGCUAGUUACUUCAGAGAAAAGGGGCACACGAAUAACACGACCAAGUUAAUGUCCAACGUUUAAUUUUCAAAUCAAAGAAGAAAAAACCAGUUAGUCUAACGUUGAACUAGAAGCAGCAAAGAAUUAUAAAUAGGAACCAGGCGCAUUUCUCGGGUACACGCAAUGAUAGAAUUGUUAAUACGGUUUUGGUUUUACCAGUGAUUUUCUUCCUAAUCUUUGCUCAGCACCAAUUAUAAAAGACGAAAAUCCAAGCCUAUAAAGAUUGGUGAUCAUCGAAGUACCAGCACCCAGCAGUACUACUUGGUUUGUUGUAUAUAUCUCUGGUAAGCUCUCUUUGGUUUAUAACCAGCUCCGUUUAUAUAUAUAUAUAUAUAUAUAUAUAUAUAUAUAUAUAUAUAUAUAUAUGUAUGUACGCAGGUAUGUUUAGUUGCAUGUUAUUAGAAUCAUCUACGUACUAUUCUUCCAUGCUUUGCACUCACAAGAUUCAUACCCAACUUCUUAUAAUUUUUCGAUUACCGAAAGAAAACAUCAAACUAAAGAACAAAACCUCUAUCAACUCCGCCCAACUUCUUAUAUUAAUCGGAACUAAUUUGUUUUAACCUUAACCCCUUUUGCAUAUGUGUCUGCUAUAGUUAAUUAUUCGAAUAAAGAAACUCUUGACCCGUUAGUUUCCGUUAGUUUGGUAUAAUCUUCUAGACUUAUUUCUUGUCGAUCAGUUUUAAGUCUUCAAAUCCCACUAGGCGUAUGCCUUGAUGAAAACUGAAAACGUGUUUCAAUUUUUGACCGAUAUAUAGUUAUAGACUCGAUGUUCUUAUGAACAAUACAUUCCUUAAAUUAGUUGUGAUUGUUAUUAUAGAAUCAACUAGUACUACUGGAUCGUUAGAAUUCAGAUAUAUACAUGCAUGCAUGCGGUCAUGCAUAUUGCAGACUUAUUCUCCAAGACAAAUAUCGUUGAUUACUGACUGCUAUAUAUCAUAUCAUCCCUAACCUCAAAAGCUCCAUAGUCAGAUCGGUUAGGCAUGGCAGCUCCAAAUAAUCUCCAUGAAGAUGUGUUGCAAUGGGUGCAGAAAGAUAAUCGUCGUUUCCUGCGUGCCAAUAUCCGAGUUGGUGAUCUUGAUCGAACCAUUAAGUAAGUAAUUUGUGCAAAUUCUUGGAUCAAGUUUGCCUUAUAUAUAUAGGUCUAUAUCAUUGAUUUAUUUGUUCUUAUAUUUAUAUGGUCAGGUUCUACACAGAAUUUUUUGGGAUGAAAGUGUUGAGCAGGCAAGAUUUCCCAGACCAAAAGUACUCAACUGCAGUCGUCGCGUAUGGACCUGAAGAGAGUCAUUUUGUUCUAGGGCUCACACACCACCGUAUGAUACAGCUAUAUAUCUCUUAAUAUGUGUCGUAAAGUUAAACCUAGCUAAAAGAAAACCUACAGUCCUGCGUCUAAUUGUUCCAUCUUAAUUCUUGUGCUUUCGACUUGCUUGACAGACGAUGCAGCGGAGAAGUUAGACAUCGGAACAGCCUUCGAUCAUUUUGGACUUGCAACCCAAGAUGUGCGUAUCAUUAGUCCUCUCUCUCUGUCUGAUGAACUUUUGCGCUAAAUAUGUAGCAAUGUCAAGGUUUCUAAUUAGGCUGGUAAUUUAUGUUCAGGUUUAUGGAACGGUUGAAAAAAUCCGAGCAGCAGGAGGAGUGAUCUCACGUGAACCAGGGCCGAUUGCAGAGGGCGGGAGGACUAUUUUUGCCUUCGUUAACGAUCCCGACGGCUACAGUUUCGAGCUCAUCCUCAGGCCACCAACUCCAGAACCACUGUGUCAAAUAUGCCUUAAUGUGACUGAUAUUGAUCGGUCAAUUGAAUUCUACCAAAAGGUAGCAUAGUUUUCUUAUAGUCUCCGAUUCGUUUUACACACCUAUCACAUUAAGCUCGACGCACAUUACGUUAUUGCCUAUAUAACUCGACCUACUUUUUCCUUCAAAACCAUGCAGGCAUUGGGAAUGAACCUACUAUUGCAAAAGUACGACGCUCCCCAGUUCCAGGUAAUUAAGAAAUAAUUGGACUAGCUAAUAUUGUAUAGUAACUCUCCAACCCAGAAACUUGGUGUUGAUCUUUAAUCCUCUGUUGCCUACAGUAUACUAUAGCUAUGGUGGGUUACGGUGACGAUUUUACUCAGACGACGAUUAUCGAGUUGAAAUAUAACUACAAUGUGACAGAGUAUACCAAAGGAAAUGGAUAUGCAAUGGUGAGUUUAGUUUUUCAACUUUUGAUCAAUUCAGCAGAAAUUAUAAAAUUAAAAGCAGCAAAUAUUUUGUUGACUCGACUCAAUUUUUAUUUUCCUGGGAUCAUGUUUGAAUAAAUCAAAUCGAUUAAUUUGUCCAUUGACUUCUAUAUCUAUAUUCUAUUGAAAUUUCUAGCUUGCUAUCGGCACUGAUGAUGUCUACAAGAGCGGUGCAGCUGUUGAACUGGUUAACAAGGAACUUGGAGGGCAAACAAUUCGACCCCCGGCUGUAAAUCCUAAAACCAACACCAAAAUCACUUGCUUCCUUGAUUCUGAUGGCUUUGAAACGGUAAUAAACCCUUCUCUUUUCUUUUCUUUUUGGUUUCUGUCAUUAUAUUCAACACAUCACAGCUAACGUAAGAAUUCCGGAAAAGAAUUACACAACUGCAUAGGACAUGUUUUACACAACCGUAAAGAGUUUCUCAGUUAUUCAAAUUAGUAUCUUGUUUUGGUUACAAACAUCCUCGGACAAUCUGUUAUGUAACGUUAUCAGAUUGUUAAUCAGUUACUGUUUAAGGGUUCUCGUCAAUCCAACCAAACUUGUCUGUAUUACACUCUUCAUAACUAUUUAUUAAUCUCUGUAGGUAUUGGUGGACAAUCAAGACUAUGCUGACUUCAACAGAAAAUCGAAGGACAAGCAUGGCCGGCCUUGAGGCAAGACCAACUAGGCUGGUGCCUAGGGCCUCCCACAAUUACAAGGGUCUCUAGAUUUGAAACUUUCAUAAAUAUGUUCAUUAAAAUUUAUUAACUAGUUUGCUUUUUAGCUGCUUUUUACUAUAAAUAAAAAAUAUAAAUUAAUUAUCAGAAUUUAUCCCUAAUUGUGUAUACUUCUUUCCAUUUUUGUGAGUUCAAUUUGACAUUCAAUUAACUUGUUAACAUAAAAAUGAUUAACUUCUUUUCAUUAUGAAUGUUUGGCUCUUGAAUUUCAAUUAAUUGGUUAAUAAAACUUUUCAUGAAAAUUAAUUUUUAACUUUUACAUCUUGGGUCUCGACGGUCUCGACUAACACAGGGCUGGCCCUGAGGACAAGUGACGAAGCGAAAUGCCUAGAAUUCAUCUGGGCUGAUGCUUACAUGUUUACCAAAUAAAGGGGCACAUUUAAAUAUGGCAUUAUUGCCAAAGGCCACAUCUUUGGGUCCCAAUUUUGGUGAUUCCACAAAGAAGUGUCCUGUUACAAAUAACAAAAUGAAGUCCUAUACAAAAACGCAUCGACUUAUCUGUUCGAAUAAAAGAAAUGUAUAUCCCUUUCUGACUUUCAUCAAUCCUAAUGCAAGCCACUGAAUAUUAAAUCAUCCAAGUUCUAAGUUUCAAAUAUUUUAGAAAGAUAUUGCACCACUAUAGAACAAUUUAGACUAUUAACAACAAGGUCAAGAACUGAUAGGAAUAUCAAUUUAAUACCUGAUUUACUUACAUGACCAAUCAAAUUUAUCUGCAUUCUAGUUAGUUUUGCCAGUAUGACUUGGACUUCCUUAACUUGAGUUCACAUGUUGUAAUUCACCUGCAAACCUCCAACAUCUUUUUGAAGCUAUCUUCAGUGCAUCCUCUGUUAGGUAUGAUCUUCAAUUUGGAACAGAGUGACAGAACUUCAUAAGGAUCCAAGUGCUUGAAAAUAUUUGGGUCUCGAUCAUAAUCCUGAUGGCAUCAUAGUUGAAUUAGAAAAAUAAAACAAUGUAGCCACAACAAUCCAUAUUUUCAACACUCAGUUGCCCCACAUCUGUUGAGAUAUGAACAACUCGUAUAUCCGUAUUCUGUGACAUAUGAUUUCAUAAACAGAAAGAGAUAUAAUCAUCAUCAACACUCUCAUAACUUAAACUUACAAGUUAAAGAAUGAUGUGCUCAAGUCAAAUGUGAAUAUCAUGUUCAUUAUCUCACCUUUUCUGUUACUAUAACAACCGGCUUGGAACUAAACCUGUCCUCCAGUUCUCGUAGCCUCCUUUUGAUCAUCUCAAUAUCCUAUGUUCAUGACAACAAGAAAAUGAGAAGCUUGACAUGUCACAAUUAGCAUCUAAAGCAUCUAAAGCAAAUUUUGACCAGGCAUUUUGUUGAGAUAUGAACCCCACAUUGGCAAUGGAUGGAGUGGUCCCAUAUUCCCGAUGUGGGAUUCAUAUCUCAACACAUUUCUUCUAUUGGCAGACUCAAAUUAUACUAUAUUGAUGAUAAUGGACGGCAAUGACAAAGGACAUUUGCAAUUUACAUGUUUUUUUUUUUUUUGCAGUAAGUAGAUAACGUAUAGGGCAUAAAAGGUGCAUGCACAAGGAGUUGGUUUAACACAGGACAGACUGCACAUGACAACACUCACAUGUCAAAGAAACUCUACCUUUGCCAGAAAUUUGUGGUGGUCACUGAAUUCAAGUCGAUCAACAUAAAAAGCUCCAAUCUGCAGACAAUAAUUACCAUUUGGAAAUGAGAUUCUCAGCAGAAAAGGACAUGUAUGAAGCUUUAUAGACACCUCCAAAAAUAAAAAAACAGUUUUAAUUUAAUUGGACAAAUGAUACACACACAAAUAUGUUUACAUACAUAUUUUCCCACAAGAUUGAGUCUGACAACUAAGGUCGAGAAUGAUACCUUCUCUAUUCCCUUUGCAAAUGCAUUUGCAGAACCAAUGGCAGAAACACAUAAUACAAUAGUGUUAGACAAAUCUUCUACAGGUUUUCUGGAGGUGGCAUUUCCCACGUUGAAGAAAUAACAGGGAUCCAUUUUCGUGAAGAAAACAGGAACAGACUUGUUAACUUCUCUUAGCAUUAAGUCAGUUUCUUCAAGAUUCUGUUUUGAAACCUGCAAGGCAACACAAACUUGUGUGUCAGUUGAAGACUUCAAUUGAGUUCACUGAUGCAGAAGUCUUUAAACCACUUUUUCAACUAAAAAGGAUAAGGUAAAUUAUAUACCAAAUCUGCAUGAUGGAGUACAACAACAUCUGCCCGUCUAAGCGCAUUGAGAGGUUCCCUCAAUGGUCCACGUGGGAUUAAGUGACAGUUGCCCCAUAAUGUUAAUGCAUUAAUCAUAACAAUCUCCAGAUUUCGCUGCAAGCUCCAGUGCUACCUUCCAUACAUUUAUUAGUAACAUAAGAUUAGAGCAUAUCACCUUAAUCAGACAAUCAUAAGAAUAUAAGCCAAAUAGCAAUCAGGAAUCGGAUCACACCUUCUCUAGGUUAGCCUCUCAAGAUAAGAAGAGUGGCAGAGAAGGAGUUAUACAAAUACAAGCCCACCUGUCUGAAUUUAACCUAAACUGGCAUGUUCCCUAAACUUUGAAAUGAAUAACUCUAUAAGAACCUUUCUGUUGCCGUCCCACAUUAAUGAUAUAGCACAAAGACAAUGUAAUUUUCAAAGCUGAUGCCACUAUUGAUAAACAUAGAGCUGACAGAAAACGCAUCCCAUUUCACAACCAUAGAAGGAAAAGGAAAACAAAAAUGUUGAAAGCAUAUAAUUCUACCUGCAUUCCAUCAUCAAGAAUUACGGUGCCAAUCUUUUCUGAGCUAAGACAACUCCCCACUUUCUCACCAUGGCAGAGUCCCUCAGAGUGUUUACUUGAGCAAGGAUCAACAUAACCAUAUCUUUCGAAAAAAUGAGCAGCAACAGCUGCUCGUUUUGCACCCACACCAAUCUUCACAGGCCUUCCAAGAAAAUGCCUAUAAAGCAUCUUGGCCUCAUCCCCACCAGCAUAACCCUGCCAAAGACAUCACACCAAUCAACCAACAUAACCUUCCCUCAAAAGCUCAACCUCCAUUGAUAAUUGUAAAUCAACACGAAAACCAUUCACACAUUCGAAAACAAAAUCAACAAAAAAAAACAUAAAAGUACCCUUGUAAGAAUGAGAGGCGAAAUCCCAGAAUCAGCUAAGUAAUUCGCAAUGAACUCCACCAUUGGAGUCUUCCCAUUGCCUCCCCAUGUCAAAUUCCCAACACUGAUCACCGGCACCGGCAACCUUCAAUCCAAUCAUGCUUUUGCAUUAAACCAAAGACUAAACAUACACCUAAAACUAUAAAGAUUCCAACUUUGAGCUCAGAAAUGUCUCAAUCCAAUCAAAGACUCCAACUUUUUAAGCAACAUAAGUUAAAGUUUUGAUCUUGAUCUAAUUUCCCAAGCACCCAAAAAUAAAGAAGCAAAAACAGAGUAAGGAAUGAGGUGGAGAUUAGAGGAGAGGUGUUACCGGUGCUCUGUUAUGAGGCCGGAACGGUAGAGAGCGCGGCGGAGAGAGAGAGCGGCGGAGUAGAGGGAGGAGGCGAAGAAGAGAAUGGGGAUUAGAGAGAGUUGGAGAUGAGAGAGCUUAGCGUGGUGUUGAGUAUACGCUAUUUCAUUCACGGCUUUUCUCAGUUUCUCCAUCGAAGAGCACCAGUUGGUCAGUUCCCACACUGAGCUCCUAAUCCAGGUUAAGAGUAAAAUUUGCAAUUUUAACCCAAAAAAAAAAAGAAAAAAAAAUAAGCCAGUGAAUCAGUGAUGCAUUGCAUUUUAGUGAUUUUACCCUGGUUUUGGUUAGGGUCUCACAUUUACACUCAACUUUCACAAUCUGCACCCCUUUUAAAUUUUUAGUGAUUUCCAAUUGUAAGGAUGCAAUAUUAGCAAUACCAUGAGAGACCAUUUUAUAAACAAAAAACAAAUUAAAAUCCUUCAAGGGUAGAGCAUUCAUCAAAUUGUUGAUUGUUGGGAUAUUGUACCUUAAUAGUUUACUCAAAUAUACAGCCUUCAUCGAAUUGCAAAACAUAUUAUGAAAGAAUCAAGAACAAUGUAAUUAUAGGUCAAAUGUUAGAUCGAUGGAAGUAAAAACAACUAUUUGUACAAGAGUGGCUCUAGAGAUGCAAAGUAAGAUCACACAAGUGCAUGAAGCAAAUCGAAUAUUUGAAAACAUUUUCACGAAGCAAUGCAGUCAGAACUCAAAACUGAGGGUGUCCCAAGAUAUGAACUCAAAACUUGAAGAUAUGAAGAUACACAUAAGGAUUGAAAUCUUUGCGAUAUAUCCGAUAUAUCAUCCGAAAUCUCUUUUUUUGAAAGGAGUAAAGGACCAAUAUAUUUAAAUGAGUAAAUAUUUUAUCUUCUAUCAUAUCUUCGAUAUUUCUUCAAUACCAUCAAAUAUAUUCGAUAUUUAUGAUAUUUACGAUAAAUCUCUAAUAUAUUAAAGAGAUAUUUGUAAAAUUUUUGGGCAUAAAGAAAAAUCACCUCCUAAAAUAUUCGAGAGAGAAGUAAUUCACUUGAGGUAUAUCCCAAUAAAGAGUCCGUGAGGGUCUCGAGUGAUUUCUAGAAAAAGAGUAUUCCCCUCGAGGGAUAUCUAGAUGUGGAGUGAGGAAACAACGUGUGUCUUUUCAACCACCAGGAGUCUCUUUCUAGAUAUAGAUAAAGUUGAUGUUUGUAGUUUUAUAUUAUUUAUAUGUAAAUCUAAUAAAUUUUGGAAAAGUUUUCUUCUCUAAUUUCCAAUAUUUUUUCCUAGAUAUCCCAAUAUAUAAUUUUUUUUAAGUACCGAUAGAUAUAACGAUACCGAUACUGAUAUUUUAUUUUAAUCCUUUGGUGCACGUACUACGCUGCUUAUGACAAACUCAAAAAUGAGGGUGUCCGAUCCCGGUGUCCCAAUGCUUAAUCUGGUUAUGACACCCAUUUACCACGUCUGUCCUAGCAAUAAAGAGUUUAACUCUGAAACUCAAACCCUAAUCCUAGCAAAGCGAUAGAGACGCGUUCCAGCCUAUAAUGAGUUGUGUUCUUAUUUCUGGUGAUCGUGUGCUCUUACUUACUUGUAGGCCUGUGUUUAGAACCCGUCCCACAUCAUUCUCUGGUGAGAGCGUGGUAGUUUCCACGGCUCAAAGCAGGCUUGAUCGGACAGGUUCUAAAAUGGAGGGUCCUUAUAGCAACAUGGAGGAAUUCAAGUUAAUGAUUCAACUACUAGAAAAACGUAUCAAUCGCAUCGAAACUCUAAGCCAAGGAGGUAAGGGCUGCCACGGGGAAAGAGACGUUUAUCAACGUGUCAUUUGCAUGGAAACAUCGUGCACAGACGGUGAGGGUUCUGAAGGGGAGGGUGACGUUGGCCCUUUCCAUCAAUGUGUUCCUUUGUGUGAAUUGGACGAAAUGGUGGAAUUAGUUUCGACUAUGAAGGUUCAAACACUAUCUUAGUUCUUCGUGUAUGUAGUUGAUAAAAAUUUGGAAAGAAAAGAAAACAAUGAUUUGUAGAUUUUAGUUUGCCAUCGAUUUAUGAUUGUUUUUUUAUGCUUGUUGUGGAAAUGGAGGAAGAAAAUAAUGAGAACGAAAACAACAUUGGAAGACAGAUUGAUGUUGAAGAUGCACAGAAUGUUGGCUCACUACCGAUCGAUCUUGUGUCCUUAAGUAAUCUUCAAAUGCAUUCUGAAUGUCAGUUCGAUGAAGAAAAAAAAACGGUUCGGAAAAUGAAAAGUUCAUUUUGCGGAUUAAAUUGAACAAAAUAUGGCUUUCUGGUUAUGUAUUAUGGGAACUCGUAUGCAAAAUUUUCACAUAAGUUUUGAUUUGAAGACGUUACUAAUGCAGCUGUACUAUAGGCAGGUUGCAAAGAAGAAGGAGAAGAAAGUUCACCAGGAACAUGUUGUAAGAACCUAUUAGACAUUGAGGAGGCCAAGAUACAGAUAUUGUUUUCGUUGCCAGCAAUUCUCACCAAUUUAUUCUUCUCCUUGAUCACAUUGGUGUCUGUCAUGUUUGCUGGCCAUCUUGGUGAGCUUCAGUUAGCUGGUGCAGCCUUGGCUAAUUCGUGGGGAAAUGUUACAGGUUUUGCAUUUGUGGUAAAUUCUCAGUCGAAAUGCUCUCUUGCUAGACAGUUUGACAUUUUUUUUUGAGAGGAGACAGUUUGAAUUGACAUUUUAAUAUGACACAACGUUUAGCAAGAGAGACGUACCUAUUUUUAUUUGUGUAUUACUUCUUGCUGUAUGCAGGUUGGAUUAAGUGGAGCUCUUGAGACACUUUGUGGGCAAGGGUUUGGUUCAAAGUCAUAUAGAACGUUGGGGAUUUAUCUGCAAGCUUCUUGUAUCAUAUCUCUUCCGUUCUGCUCCAUCAUAUCUGUAGUAUGGUUGUAUACAGAACCAAUACUUAUUCUACUCCAUCAAGAUCCUGAAAUUGCAAAAUCCGCAGCUCUUUUCUUAAAAUAUCUGAUUCCCGGAUUAUUUGCAUAUGGCCUCUUGCAAAAUAUCUUGAGAUUUCUUCAGACUCAAUCCGUAUAUGUCAUGCCAAUGGUCUUCUCCAUGAUCUCCAUUGUACUUCAUAUUGCAAUAACUUAUGGUUUGGUACAUUGGACAUCUCUUGGUUUUAAGGGAGCUCCACUAGCUGCGUCAGUUUCGCUUUGGAUAUCGGUUCUUAUGUUGGCCUUCUAUGUUAGCCGUGCAAAGAAUUUUGAGCAUACGUGGGAAGGAUUUUCAUUAGAAUCAUUCAAAUAUAUCAUGACUGGUUUGGACCUUGCUCUUCCCUCCGCAACAAUGGAAUGGUAAGUGUAUGUACAUAUAUAGAUAUUUCUUAACUUUAUCUUGAUACGAGUACGUAGUAAACUCGAUCUCACAGUAUAUCUGACAUCUAUUGAGAAUUUGGGAUUCAAACUUGCAAAUGCAAACAAGAUGUUACAUGAUCAUCAGUAAAGCCUAUUGAUAGUGCAGCAAUAUAAUAUUUGAAUUGCAUCUGUUACUUAUGCUUGACGUUUCAAUAACAGUACACUUUCUGUUCUUCAAUCUCUUUAGUUUGGAGGAGGGGGCUUUCGAGAUCAUUGUGUUUAUGGGAGGAUUGAUGCCAAACUCAACAAGAACCACUUCAUUACUUGCAAUGUGGUGAGCUUCAAAAACAUUUUUGCAAGUUUUUAUUUGCUCCAGCAUGUUAUUCUGUCUAGCUCAUAUAGCUUCUUUUUUAUUAUAUUAUCAGUGUGAACACACAAGAAAUUGGUUACAUGGUUACAUAUGGCCUCAGCGCUGCUGCUAGGUAAGUAGAUUAAACUUACAAGUUGUUCAAUUCCUUCCAGUUUUGCGAUAUAUAAAUUGUUUGCUUUUUCAUACAUUGACACAGAGUUCACAUAUUGUUGUUGCAGUACAAGGGUGUCAAAUGAAUUAGGGGCAGGCAACUCGGAUCAAGCAAAGAAUGCGAUGCUUGUGACUCUUAAGCUCUCGCUGAUUCUUUCUUUUACAAUUGUUCUGAUUUUGACAUUUGGUCACAAUACCUGGGCAGGCUUCUUCAUUGACAGCUCUUCAAAUUAUGCAGUACUAAUAGAGGACUUUGCUUCUAUGACACCACUUCUUGCAAUUUCAAUAGUUCUUGAUUCCUUGCAAGGUGUCUUUUCAGGUCAAGAUCAACAUUCCAUAUAUUCUAUUUGAGCAUUCUUGUCUUCAGUUUUCUGGUUAUUUAGUGGUUUUGGUUAUAUUCAGGUGUGGCAAGAGGAUGUGGGUGGCAACACUUGGCUGUGUAUGUGAACUUGGGCACAUUUUAUAUUAUUGGCAUGACAAUUGCUGGUCUUCUUGGAUUUGUGUUGAAACUUUAUGCCAAGGUAAUCAAAUUAGUAAGUUCAUUCUUUUUUGGCUUCACAGUUCAACUCAUUUUCUUUUUGGGGGCUUUGAUUUGGGUGCAGGGCUUGUGGACUGGUUUAAUCUGUGGUCUCUUCUUCCAAGCAAGCACACUAUUGUUGAUUACACAGCUCAAGAAAUGGACAUCUGAUUUCCAGUACGUCAAAGCAUCUUCACAAAGCAGUGAAAUCUGAAACUCAAAAAUGAGGGUGUCCUAGUUCACUUUUGGCUUUGAAGCUUGGUGCAUCAAGUAUCAAAGAAUGCCUAUUUGUUAAAGAUGAAGGUGCACUAUGCUGUUCUUGACCAAAAAUGAGGGUGUCAUCCCCAUGCAAAAUCUGGUUGGCUUUGUGAAAUUGUUUCCAACCUCUUGCAAUGUGAUAGCGUUCACAAGUAGAUCUGUAGCCUUUGGAUUCAAAUGUUUCUAGAGCUAGUCUAGGGAGCCAUGAUCUUGUAGUGGGAUCUUAAUUGAACCUUCAGAGUCUUCUUACUCGUAGGUCCUUUAACCAUGACUAGAUUUUUUGGAAUCCUCUAAACGUAUUUUAAAAAGAUCAGCAUUUCGUUCACCAGCCAUACAAGAGUGGCUGCAGGAGACUGAAAAGUACCAUGGAUUAUAUUACACAUUUACACAAGAAGAUGACCAUAUAUUUACACAAAAUGAAAGAGAACUCAAAAUUUAAAACAUCUUCAAGAAGAUACUAAUGCCACUACAGAACGCCUUGCUGUAGUUAAUUAGAUCGACUCUCAAAAAUCCGCAUGGAACCGCCUGGCUAGCUUUACUUCUUGAUGAUGGGGGCAUCAAGUACCACAGAAAUAGACAUUAUUUCCUCCUCUUGUUCCCAGACCUUUUUUAAAAACAUGAAGGCGCAUUACAGUUUGCUGAACAAACUCAAAAACAACGGUGUCCCCAACAACAAUGUUGUUGGCUUUAGAACAUUCUCCCCAACCUGUUGACAUGGACACAUAGUUCCCUUUGACAAGCUUCGCAGGCCACAAUCUCCCAGUUGAGUCUUCAAUUUCUACAGUAUUCUUACUCUUAAGCCCUUUGGACACGACUAGAUCCUUUGGAAUAGCCUGCAGUUUGGAACAUGCAUCAACUAUAUCAAGAGGGGAAAAACUGACGAAAGUUUUAAAAAAAAGACAUCUAUAUAUGAUUAUUAGAAUUCAGAAGACUGAUUACAUUUAUUUUAAAGCGUAACACAUUCAAAUUAAUUGAUUUGAUUCCCAUAAUUUUUAGUCAUCCGAAGGUGUCUAAUCGAAUGCAUGUCAUAAUUGGCUUCAUUAACUACUGUAUAAGCAAGUACUCAGUUACUCACCAUCCUAUAUCGUGAACACCUUCCCUUCAAAGUUGCUUGAAAACAUGAAUACUCCGAUUUGAAGAUGAUGGGUCUAGUCGAUGUUUCUUUACCAUCCUCAACCUUUGGCGUCCUUCCAUAAUUAUUUCCUACACAUUGCCAAAUAGAUGAUACAUUAUAUAAGAAGAAACAACUAAACAACCAAAAAUCGAGUACUACUUACGCCUUCUCUUGUCAGCAUUUUCAGUGUCACUAUUGCAGUUUUCGGUUUCCAGGCCAUCAAGAAUUUCAUCUUUUACCCAAGCUAAUUGGUAGCCUUCAUUCACUGAGGGAGCAGUAGGAAGGCCAUUUCUCCUCUUGGGCACUUCUACAUCUAUCUCACAACAUGUUCGAUCAUAUACUUUAACCUUAAACUUUGAUUUACCAUCAUAUUGGAAAACCAGAAAGUCGCCAAAUUGUAAAAGAUGAUCCUUCACAAAGCUAUGCCAACCAUGACUGUGGAAGAACAAGCCAUUCUUUCUCCUUUCCAGCUCCACACUUCUUUUUCCACAAGGGCCUCUAAGAACACAUUUGCCAAGUGAUGGUCGAAUAUGGUACCUGGUAAACUUAUGUGGUAUACGCUACAAAAAUGAAGUAUUCAACAUACAUAAUUUAGCUUGUUUAACAUGCAUGCAUCAUAAGAGCCUAUUCAGCGCACCCGUCAUCUCUACCGUCGAUUUUGAAAAAGUUAAAAGGCUCUGUUAAGUCCACGUCAAAAUCGACGGUGGAGAUGACGGGUGCGCUGUAUAAUUUUCGAUGCAUCAUAAUAUAUCAAUUUGCAGAAAACAUAUCGAUCCAUCACUUGAAGUUCGAAACUAAAUGAAUCAAAGCAGUUGCCAAAGAACAACAAAUCAAAACCUUAAGUAUUCAAACAUGCAUGCAUGCAUGAACGAUGAAUUGCAGAACCCUCAAGUGAGAUCAACUAUAGAACUUCAAUUAUAGAUCGAGAGGCAGAAAACUAAGAUCUUAAACGAGGAUCAAAGGUUACCAGAUGAUUAGCGAAGUCAUCAAGCAGGACCUUGAAAAAGGAUGGUUGCUUAGUUGGUUUCCUACCCAUUUCAGCCUUCAGCUUAGCUUGGAAUGAUGUCCAAAGUGUUUUUUUUGAUACGAAAUGAUGUCCAAAGUUGAAGUUGAACCUUUGUAAGUUUAUGGUUAGGGGAAAGUGGGAAACAAUGAACAGAUUUCAAUGCCAGACUUUCUACUUUUUUCAGUUGAAUGCUUCCAUCUGUAUUACAUGCAAGAACUUACAAUUCCAGGUAAGCUUAGCGAAAAAUGAAUUUGUCUGACUUCAUUUGACUACAGCAAAGAGAACAUUAAUUAUAAAGUCAUCUAGUUUGGGAAUUACAAAUUCAGCUUGGUUUGUCUGCCGUGUGGUGCGACAUCGAUUCAUUAAUAAAUUAUAGAGUUAAUGCUUUAGCCAGUUUGAGAAGAAAGACCGAAAGUGCACUGUGGUUAAAGUAAACCAGUAGUUACUGAUAAUCACAAUUAUUCAUUUAAUUCAGUUAAUUAUAUGAUACUAUUGAUGUUAACAUCAUUAAACAAAAUUGAGAUAAAAAAACACAAUUAACAUGGUAAAAACAAAGGCCGUUGCUGGGUCUCUUCAACCUCCAGAAAUCAAAGACUCCAGAAUCUGGGUUUUCAUUGAAAUGGUUUUCGCAGAAGAAUCUGGGUUCUUCAACAACACUCCAGCAGAUCUCACAUCUUCGUCUAUCUAUAUCCACCAAACCCAGAACUCCCCAAGAACGAAUCUGGUUUUCUUCAUGACCUUAGCAAUCUCGAUGGCGCCAUUGAGCAUGAUGUUCUUGACCUUCUUGCGAUCGCCCUCCAGCUCCAUGAGGGCCUUGAGGACAAGGGCGGCGGCUGAGGGAACGACGAAGACCUAAACCGACCUCGCCUCCCAUUACGCGGAUGUGGACCUCGACGACCUGGGCGGCAUAGCGGGGGAGGCUGGGUUUCGGGUUCGGGUUCGGUUAGGGUUUUGCAGGCCGGAGAUAUGCAGCUCGAUGUUUUUACUGCAAUUUAUUGGUUUUUACUGUAGUUCGACUUUUCUUUUUUUUCACUACCCAACAUUUGUUGUUUUGUUAGCCCACGUGAUAUGCACAUUUCCAUUUCCGAUGCCUGCAUUUGGCAGGGUGGCAUGGUUUUUCACCCAGUUAACUGAAAACAAUCUAAUACUGGCUAUUAGGCUUUGGGAAAAAUUUAUUACUUACUAGCCUUUUAUCCGGGCAUUUGCACGGAAUCACUCUCACUUAUAAAUCAGCAAGAGUAGUUUUUUUUUAAUUCAAAUAAAUUAACUGAUAUAUAUAUAUAUAUAUAUGCUACAACGAGUCUAUUAUAAGUCAAACUCAUGACCUUUCACUUAUAAGAAAAGACUUAUGUUAUCAGACCAAACGGUACUGAACAAACAACAAGAGUAGUUAACAUGUAGUUCUUCAUAAUUAUCUAUAUAUUUAAUUUUUUGUUAUUAAUUUUGCAUAUUUAAUUUGUUUUGUUUUAAUUUUGCUUUUUACUGUAAUGAGCCCUUUUUUUUGUGUUAGUUGGCUCAUUAAUAGUAAUUAUGAAUGUUCACAAUUUGGUGAAUUUUAUGAACGCCUCGCUUUAUAGCAGUAGAGAUAGAGAUUAAAAAAAAUCAGUUUUUAUUAUUUUAUUGUGUUUGUAAAAUAAAGAAAAAACUAGCAGCAAAUUUAAAAAAGAAAAAAAAAUCUUGGUAAACCUUAAACUAGUCCUGAAUUCUCCGAAAUGGCAAUCAUGUGCAAAGAAUUCUAUCCAAGAAACAAACAAGGGCUGGAAUUACUUAUUUUUAUGAUUUAUUUUACGGGAAAUUUUAUGGUACCUACAUAUAUAUGAUACCUACAUUUACAAAUGUAACAACAUAUUUGUAGUCAAAGUGGUAAUGCUGAGUCGUAUUGUUUGUGAUUUUAUUCUAAUAAUUGUAAUUACAAAAUAUACAACUAUUUUACAACUUUUUGAACAGAUUGUUCUCAUAGUUGUAAUUUUGUUUAAUUUCAUGUAAAUAGUGUAAAUAAAUUUGGUAAAUUUGUUCUCAAUAUUGUAAUUUGAUUCAUAACAUUGUAAUUUUUGUUCAAAUACAUGUAAAAUAAAAAUUAGAGAUACAUCCCAGUACCAUAGCUUGUCUCUUAUUUUACUAGUAUUUUCAACUGUAUUAGGUGAGAAAAUGUUAAUUUCCCCUAUCAAAUUUUCACUGUUUUGGAAGUUCCAUUAUGGUUGUGUCGAACCAAUGCCUCCAACACAUUACAAUCUAAUAUACCCCUUCAUCCCAAAUUAAAAGAUCUUCGAAUUCGUUGAAACGAUAGUUUAGAGAAAACUGAAUUUGCUGUUAUGACUCAUUAAUCACGAAUAUGGAGAAAUCUAAAUAUGUAGGAAUUUGAAACAAACACAACUUUCACAUCAACCAUCUGAUUCCUCACUUUUUAAGUUGUACACACAAUCACAAACACAAAUACAAGCAAAUAUUUAUCAAUGAAAAAGUAGUAAACAAAAGUCUCAUCUUGUAUUAAAAGAAACUAAAACCAAAAGUUAAAUCAUCUUGUAGAUCAUGUCUUAGGGUUUCAUGCAACCCCUUAACUAAGAGAAACCUAAUUAAACAUGGUAGAGAGAGAGAGAGAGAGAGAGAGAGAGAGAGAGAGAGAGAGAAGAAGAAGAAGAAGAGANNNNNNNNNNNNNNNNNNNNNNNNNNNNNNNNNNNNNNNNNNNNNNNNNNNNNNNNNNNNNNNNNNNNNNNNNNNNNNNNNNNNNNNNNNNNNNNNNNNNNNNNNNNNNNNNNNNNNNNNNNNNNNNNNNNNNNNNNNNNNNNNNNNNNNNNNNNNNNNNNNNNNNNNNNNNNNNNNNNNNNNNNNNNNNNNNNNNNNNNNNNNNNNNNNNNNNNNNNNNNNNNNNNNNNNNNNNNNNNNNNNNNNNNNNNNNNNNNNNNNNNNNNNNNNNNNNNNNNNNNNNNNNNNNNNNNNNNNNNNNNNNNNNNNNNNNNNNNNNNNNNNNNNNNNNNNNNNNNNNNNNNNNNNNNNNNNNNNNNNNNNNNNNNNNNNNNNNNNNNNNNNNNNNNNNNNNNNNNNNNNNNNNNNNNNNNNNNNNNNNNNNNNNNNNNNNNNNNNNNNNNNNNNNNNNNNNNNNNNNNNNNNNNNNNNNNNNNNNNNNNNNNNNNNNNNNNNNNNNNNNNNNNNNNNNNNNNNNNNNNNNNNNNNNNNNNNNNNNNNNNNNNNNNNNNNNNNNNNNNNNNNNNNNNNNNNNNNNNNNNNNNNNNNNNNNNNNNNNNNNNNNNNNNNNNNNNNNNNNNNNNNNNNNNNNNNNNNNNNNNNNNNNNNNNNNNNNNNNNNNNNNNCCACGUGUUCUGUGCGACCCACCAGUCGCACAGCGACACGUAUUUUUUUUUCCUUGGGCAGCUCUUCUUCUUCCUUCCUCUCUCUUCUCUGGCGAAAUUGAUCCCCUCCGAUCAAAACAUAGCAGCUCCCUCUGCCCAGCCGUUGCCUAAACCCCUCCCCCCCCCCGCCGUCGCCGCCUCCACCAUAAGCUUGACAACCUGCCGUCGUCGAGCUGCGCCUCCACCAACUUGUGCAAAUCACGCAGAGGAAGGUAGAAGAAGAAGAGAGAGGAAGGAAGGAAGAAGAAGAAGAGUUGUGAAAAAGCUUCGCUGGAGGGGGUCUGUUUCGCCGGAGAAAAGAGGAAGAAGAAGAAUAAGGCAGGUGUAGAAAAAAAAAAAACACGUGUCAAAGGAUGAUUAGGUGCGUAUGUGCCAGGUGGUGCGGCUGUUGCACCUAAGAAUUUCUCUAUUGUUUAUGGUCUGAACUUUUACACCCAACUAUUAUAAUAAACAUCACUAGCAUGAACCCUAUUUUCUCUUUGCUUAACCACCCUUACUUAGUUGACAACCCUCCAAAAUUUCAGUACUCUAUACUUAAACACUCCAUUAGUAAUGUCGAAGAUAUUAUAUCCCUAAUCGGCCUAUUAGUCAAAUGUGAAAGCCAAAAAAUUCAUGAGUUGUGGAGUUUGCAUUGAUUUGUCUCUUUUUGCUAAAAAGGCCUUACAUUUGAUUAAGAUUUAAGAGUGUAUAUAUCACAUGAAUAAUUAUUAAUUUCGGAUCAUUUGCUGGUUAUCAUGAACGUGUCAAUGGUCCUUAUAUGUUGUAGUGGUCAUAAUAAACAAGAGGAAAAUUUUCAAAUGGUGCCCCAAGUUAAGUCAAUUCAUCAUUUUGACAUCUCAAUCUUGAAAACUAUGAUAAUAGUACCUUAACACUUAAAUUCAACCCAACAUUAGUUCCUUCCGUGAUUGACACCAUUAAGUUGGACUUUGUCCAUGGGCAAAAUUGUCUCUUCAUGUUUUUCUUCCACAAAUCUUAUCAGUUGAAUUAGAGUCUCUCGACCUGGAAAUUUCAACUAUGCAUGUGAGUCAUAUUACCUAGUUAUCUUUGAUUGUUCUAUUAAGUAUAUAUGUUUCAUGAACUUCUAUAUUUGAUACAAAAUGCAUUUUAAUUAAUGUUGAUUAUUUCUCUCACCGGUGGGUUGCAAAAGCUACUUUUAAUUAUGGAUAUUAAUGACCAAUGGUGUAUUAUAAUUUCUAGAUCUCUCUAAUUUUUGUAUGUAAUUAACCAACACAUGGCUCACCACAAAUUUUGAUACUGAUGGGAAAAUAGACAUUAUCCUAGAGGAAAAUGUUUGUGGAGGGAAAAGAUUUGAGGAGGAGAAACAUGAAAAGACAAUUUUGCCCAUGGAUAAAGUCCAACUUAACGGUAUCAAUCAUGUAAUGAACUAAUGUUUGAUUGGGUUUAAGUGUUGAGGUACCAUUGUCAUAGUUUUCAAAAUUGAGAUGUCAAAAUGAUGAAUGAGCUUAACUUGGGGCACUAUUUGAAAAAUUUCCUCAAUAAACAAUGAUCUGAUCUAUUUUGGUUGUUGAAACUUGCCUCAGUUUUUAGAUAUUUAUUGUUGUGAACUGUUCUAACACAACUGUUUUUAAUGUCCAGUAGAACAUGAUGAUGGACUAGAUGAGCUAUUUGUGUAUGAGAACCAAAUUCCUGAUAUGGGAGAGUCAAAUGACAUAUGGUGUUGUAAUAAGGAGCUUACAUGGAAUCGUCAUCAGUGAGGGUUCAAAGAAUGUGGUUCUAACUCAGGCAAGUCAGGCUCCCAACAUACAUGCUAUUGAUAAAGGAAAGAACAAAUUGGAGUUUCAUAGAGAUGUUGCAUUUGAUAGUGAAGAUGAUGGCUAGGAACCAGAAGUAGAAGAAGUUUAUAUAGAGAAUGCAGAUGGGAUGGGACAAGAGUGGUCUGAUGAUUUAUAGAUGCAUUGUGCAUGUUUUGUGCAACCAUGUUAUGUGUCUCAUGGUUGCUUAGAUAUUUUGCACCUUCAUCCAAAUUGUUGAUUUUUGUUAGUUUGGAUAUAAACAUCGACUUAUGCAUCUAUUUGAUUGUUAUGCAUUAGCUUUCAUGGACAAGCUUGAAUGCAAAUUUAAGGGUUUUGCCCCAAUAUGUUGUUCUAUUCAUUGUCUGGUGUUUUUGCUUGUGUUACUUUUUUGGAUAAUUUUAUAGUUCUGGGUCCAGUGUUGAUGUGUGGAUGUCUGGAUUCAUUUUGGAUUGAAUUAGAUUUUUUUUUUUUACAGGUUAAGUGUUUGCUAGAUUGAGUUUUGGAUGAAAAUCAUAUCAAAUUGUCCAUUAUGCCCUUUUCGAGUGUAUAAAGAUUGAUAUGUGGGGCCUCCUUGUCGGUUCCAAAUUAGCACAUGACGUCACUUUUAGAGCCAACAUAAAAAUUUGGACUUAUAUGUAGCAAUUUGAGAGUUAUGGGACUAAAAAGAUGGAUUUUUAAAAUGAGGGACUGAACUGAUUUUAACAUCAAAGUUUAGGGUACUAAAUUAAAUUUUUUCUAAAAUUUUAUCACUAUUUAAUGGCAGAACUUGACACUUCGGUUAGGGGGGGGGGGGGGGGGGACUUAAUAACAUACUAUCAAUGAAAAUUUUUCUCAAACAUUGAACCAAUGAUUGUCAAUAGAUCUUCCCUAGCCCGCGGUGAUUGACUACUCUGCAUAAAAGGAGAAGGUUUAAGUCACAACCAUUCUGCUUCCCCACUCCACCAAAAAGAGCUGAGCGAGACAAUAAGGGCGUGUUUACUAAACAUGAAUGGGAUUUAGGGUGAAUGAGAUUUAAGGUGAAUAGGAAUAAGGGUGAAUGGGAGAGAGAAGGAGUCAUUCCCAUUCCAUUGUUUACUUGUCAUUUGGAAUGAGGCGAUCUACAAUGGUGUCUGAAAUGACGUUCUCUCAGCAAGAGGAGAAAAAGAGAUAGAUCUGAAAUGGUGUUUUAAGUCGUAGGCUUUUGAUAUGGGUAGUUUAGGAUUUUGAUAAAAUUACAAGGUUAAAAUUGGAACUGAAAUCUGAUUCAUGGGUGAAUCAAAAUCAAUACCAACCCCCUCCUCCGGAAUGGAAAAGGGAGAAUGACUCCGGGUUCAACACUGGGACCCACACAUGUUUGAUUCCUCCUUAAGUUAGUAAACAACACUUCAGCUCGGAAUGGGAAUGACUCCCAAACGGAUGAUUCCCAUUCACCUAAAGUAAACGCGCCCUAAAGAGAGUGUUUGUGAGUCUCCGAUCGUUAGUACUUCUGAACUCAUUCAAUGAAGGGUGCAAAAUAUAAAUCGCCCCAAGGAACAUACAUACCAUUUUCAGCUAUUUCUCAGAGACUUCCAUAUUCACAUUAAGCUAGAGAGGCUGAUUUAGAUUCUUAAAGUCUUUUUUUUUUUUUUUUUUUUUUUUUUUUCCUAUAUAGUAAACAAAAUUACAAUAAAAAACUCCUAACACAACCCAAACUAUGGAAAUCAAAAUGAAAGGCAGAAAAACUAAAAGAGGUGACUAUGGCUCAAGCUUGCAAUAGCAAUAGAAUGUCCUAGAUUUGCAAAAGCAUCUGCUAGAAACUGGAUCGGGAUCCUCUCCUCAUAAUUCUCUGCUCAUACUUCCUCAUAAAUAAAUAUGAACCAUCCAAUCUUAAUAGAUGGUCAGGAUUUAUCUUACAUUCUUUAAGGUGAUUAGUCUAUCUUCUUCCCAAAUUCUCGUAUAGAUUUCUGAUCGCCGAUCUCCUCUCAUCUCUCUCUUCCCUCUCUCACCCCCAACCCCAAAGCUGAUAUCUUUCGCUCCAUAAUUCCUAUUGCAUAUAGUUUUACACUUUUACUACCUCUCUGUUGUUCGAAUCGAAUCAGCAGCCGAAAGAGAAAGAAGGAUGCGUUGACGGGUCUCGAGGAUCGUCUGUUGUCGCAGCCGUCACGACGACCAGAACCGGUUAAUCAUGAGAAACCUCAAGGAACCGGUCAGGUAGAGCGACAUCCUCAUCCUGCUCGAGUAUGAGAGAGAAGCAAGAAGGUCUCGUUGAUGGGUCUUCGCUUUUGUCUUCAGCGAUGGAAAAAGCAAUGUUCUUUGCAUGUUACUGGGUUUAUGUUUUGUGAGAAAGACUGGUUCUUGUAGUGUUAUGGAAAUCAUGAUAUGAGAGAUCCCAGCUUGUUAUAAUUAGUUGCUAAUAUGCUGCAACUGAAGCCAUAUAUGAUUUGUGAUAAGAAAUAUUUUUAUUUGGGGAUGAGAGUUAAAACUAAAAAAAAAAUUUAAAGCCAAGUAGUUCAGUCAAGAUGAAGGAUAUUGAUCAAAGAUCGAAUAAAUACGUUCUAGAAAUAUGAGCAAUGCAAGAGGGAAGAAUGGAAAUAGAUGGGCAGUUGAAACUUGGCCUCACUUUGUGCAAAAAUUUAGCCGUGUGUUAAAUUUAGUUAUUCAAAGUGUUCCUUCGAAAUGAGAACUUUCAUCAUUUUGAUAUCGUCGCCGGUACCAAUAUCAACCCAAAAUUGAUCACCCUACUUCUGGGUUCAUAUCAACCUACUCCUGGGUUUAUACUCUGGGUCUGAAAUUUGAGGGAAUAAAGCCAGAGAAAUCCUGGCCAUCCAUUAAGAUUGGACGGCUCAGAUUCAUUUAUGAGGAAGUAUGAGCAGAGAAAUAUGAGGAGAGGAUCCCAGUCCCUAGAAACUUUGCUUCUCUCCAAAUAUGUCAGAUUCCUAAAGUUUAGAGAAUGAAACUACAACAUCCGGCCAAAGGGUUACCUUAUUUGUUUAUUAUCUUUGACUGCUGUUUUUUUUUCUGGUCGGAAUCUUUGACUGCUUUUCACUUAAACAGAUGCUGUAUGAUGAGCUAAAUCCAAUUGAGUCCAUUUUGUGCGCAAUGUAAGCAAUAAAAGUGUCCCAGCUUGACAGGAAAGACCACAUAUUAAACCAAUCCACAAACCCUGUACCAACAGAAAUUAAACAUGUUAAUGCAAAACAGCAGAUCAGCACAUUAGCUUAGUUGCUUCUUCCUCAGUUCAAAUGCAUUUAAGAAGCUGCUAUAUACUUGGAAUUGAUAUGAACAUGUGUGUAUUUUGACUCUUUGAGAGCUAUUCUGAAAGGUUGCAUCACCUUGGCAUAUAGUUUCAGCUUAAACGCAAGAAGACAUGCGAUUGUCACACCAAUCAAAUAGAAUGUGCCCAAGUUCACAUAGACAGCCAAGUGCUGCCAACCGCAACCUCUAGCCACACCUAAAAUUAUGAAAACUCACUUUCAUAGGCACCCAAGAAAAACCUGUUAAGUGAACAAAGUCCAAAGGCAAAGCAGCAGAUAGAUUUACCAACCUGAUAAGACACCUUGCACCGAAUCAAGCAUUAUUGAAAUUGCAAGAAAUGGUGUCAUGUAAGCAAAUUGCUUAAUUAUUGUAGUGCUGUCACUGAAGAAGCCAGCCCAGAUAUUGUGACCAAGUGCUAGCGCCAGAACAACUAAGACACCAAGAAGCACAGAGAGCUUCAGAGUCACAGCCAUCGCAUUCUUAGCUCGGUCUGGAUUGCCUUCUCCCAAUUCAUUUGACACCCUUGUGCUACAAUAUAAGUAAUCUUAAUUUGCUUGAAUGCAUGAAACAGAAUGCAGAUAUCCAACAAAUUGUAAGGAAUCAGAAUGACCUAGGGACCAACCUUGCUGCAGCACUGAGGCCAUAUGUAAGCAUGUAAGCAAUUGUUUCUGUAUUCACACUGAAGAAAUCACAAAAAAAAGAAAUUAGUGAAGUGGUUCUGUAAAAACUUCUUCAGUCAGGUAGCAAUAACAGGUUCAUGCAGGGUAAAAAAAAAAAACAGUGUAGCUUACCACAUUGCAAUUAGUGAAGUGGUUUGUUCCGAGUUUGGCAUUAAUCCUGCCAAGAGCACAAGAAUCUCAAAAGCCCAGUACUCCAAGCUGGAAUAUGAAAAUAUGCAAAGUUCAAUACUGAAACUUAUAUUUCAUCCUAGCAGUAGGUACUCAGUUCAUACCAUGUGUUUGAUCAGAUUGGACUUCCAUAGUGCACCCAAGAUGACUAUGCCAUUUUUCCAAGUCAUGAAUAUAACUGCUAACAAUUUUACCAAAUGAACUUCAUGUACAUAGCUCACUCAACUAAGCUGAAGUCAGUUUCUCAUUUUACACUUGAUAAGCAUUUGCAGUUCUUUAGUCUAGUAUAUAGCUGAAUGAGUCUACAUGCCGCUAAUAGGGGUUUUAAACAUUACAAAUACACUUACCAAACCAUCGCUGCAGAGGGGAGAGCAAGUUUCAAGUCAGUCAGGACAUAGUGGAAUGAUUCUAAUGAAAAUCCUUCCCAUGUGUGCUCAAAUUUCUUAGCACAAACAACAUACGUAGCCAGCAUGAGAAACGAUAUACAUAAUGAAAUUGAAGCUGCUAGUGGAGCUCCCUUGAAACCAAGAGCUGUCCAAUGUACCAAACCGUAUGCAAUGCCAAUAUGAAAAACCAAUGGGAUCGCUGAGAGAAAAACCAAUGGCAUGACUACAGAUUGUGUCUGAAGAAAUCUCAAUAUGUUAUUCAAGAACCCAUAUGCAAAUAAUCCUGGAAUCAGAUACUUAAUAUAAACCGCAGCAGACAUCGAAAUUUGAGGAUCUUGCUGGAGUAAGAUAAGUAUGGGCUCGGUGUAGAACCAUACUGCAGAUAUGAUGAUAGAGAAGAGGAAAGAUAUGAUGGAAGAGGCUUGCAGAUAAAUUCCCAACAUUCUGUAUGACUUUGCACCAAAUCCUUGCCCACACAGGGUCUCAAGUGCUCCACUCAACCCAACCUGAACAAAAGGAAACAAUGAGAUGCUAGCAGUAGCAGAAUCCCCAUUCUCCAACACCCAAUUGAUAAUGUAAUUUCAUUUUCCCUUUUGAUUUGUCUGUUCAUACAUAGUCUUUAUUUUCCUUUACCAUACAGCAGUAUUGAUAAGGAAUAUAUAUAAGUUCAUGGGGAACACCUUCUAGUACUAAUGCUAUGAUUGAUAUCCAAAUCAUCGUCCUCUUCCCCCAGUUAUUAUCAUCAAUUCAUCACUAUCAUAUUACUCUUCCGUACAUGUACAUAUAUGAGUGAUCAACAUAAACAAAACAUUUAACAUAAACAUAAUGAAAGCAAAGAAACACAAAAACUACAUAAACUACAUUUGGGAAAAUGGGAGGCCACCCUUGUCCUCUGAAUGUAUAAUUAUAAGCAACAGCACAUCAAAAUCUAGAAAUAGCUUCACUGUUCUUCUCACAGAAGGAAUGAAGUCACUCUCAGAUGCCAAAAGACAAAGAAAAUGCUAAAGAGAGAAAACAUAAUUUGAAAAGAAAUACCCCAAAAAUGAUGCUAAAGCCUAGCUAAUAACCAACACUUCUAUCUGAGAUAUGAAUAAGGGAAUAGUACUCCAACACCGUUCUAUUCAAUUUCCUACAUAAUAAAUUUGAUAGUGGAUACAGAUUAAUGGAAAGCAACAUGAUAGAGUGAGUACAGAGAGAGUUACCUUACCAUGAAAGCAAAUCCAGUGACAACAGCCCAUGAAUUGGCCAGUGUUGCCCCAGCAAGCUCAAGCUCACCAAGGUGACCAGCAAACAUAACCGAAACCAAAGUGAUCAAGUAAUAGAAAACAUUGGUCAGAAUCAUCGGCAACGAAAACAAGACCUGAUUCUUGGCCUCCUCCACAUCCAAAACCUUGUUCCACCACCUGAGUCCUUCACCUCCAUCAACUCCCGACUCCAAUAAGGGCACUGCUGCAUUAGUAUCUGAACUUGCUGUGUUUUCUGGCAUGUCUCUAUUACUUCCUGGUCUUUCUUCUAUUUCUUGUCUUUCUAUGUCUGGUAUAUGUGGUUUCCAAUAUAUUCUCUUUCUACGUAAGAGGACACAUCUGUAUCUAUCUACAUAUCUAUAUAUAUAGAUAUUUUCCCAUCUAAGAUUUGCCGGCCAGGUUGAUGGUCUUAAAACUCUCAAUGGUUUUAUAAAUAUUUUGUGUUUUGACUAUUCGGUGUUUCCUGUCAGUUUCCCUUUGAACAGAAACCUUGCAAUAUAGUAUGAGCCACUCCAACGAACCCCAAUGGUCCCUAAUCACGUCCACUGGGUUUAAAAGUUACAGAACACUCGGAAUAACAAAGACUGGUAAGCAACUUUGGAACACAUGAUUCCAGCAUGUAGGUGACAUUUAUGAAGUACAGGGGAAAUGUGUGUGCAUGAAUUUGAUGAUCAACAAGAUUGCAUAAAAUAUAAUGAUAAGCAUGGAAAGCAAGUUACUGGGAGUACUCGAAGUAACUAGUAUCACAAUAAAGAUCAAAGACUUGUCUUUGUGGUUUGGUGUUUUGUCGCAUGUCAUAGUAAAUGACUCUGUGAAGCAUUUUGCCGAACAUUUUUAGAGAAAAACUAACUUCACAACACUUUAAGCUCAACGGAGACGUAAAAUUUAAAAUAAUUCGAUAUUUUGAUAUGAUCAUUCUUUUGAUUGCUGGAUCAGCUUGAACAAAUAUGGGCAUCCUAUGGGCAAAAAUGCACACUUGAAUUGACUUGCAAAAAAGUAAUUCUUUGAAAUAAUUUAUCCAACAGUUUAACUUAUAUAUCAACAAAUAUGCAUCAGCAAAUGCAAAUGGGAUGCUGAAAAUCCUACUGAACAUAGUUGGAAAAGAAUGUAAACUUUGUUUAGGCCAAUGAAUUGGUCAGAAACAUGGGGCUGAGAUUUUCUGUGUUUCUUCACAGUUGUGUAUAUAUCUCUGUCUCUAGAGAAGACAAAUCCAGAUCUAGACGUGUCAAACAUUACUAGACUCCAGACCACCAUAAAAUAUUGUACAGAAGUAAUGAAAUUUGAGCCUGUGAGUCUGUGACACUGCAUUUUAUGGAAAUGUGUCUCUUUCUCUGGGUCAUGCUAUGUCGUGCAAAUUCAAUCAUAGUAAAAAACUAAAAACCAUAUCAUACAUUUCACGUGCAUAAUGCAUCUAGUUUGUAAAUUCUACUCGAGUUAUUUUCUCAAAGUAAUACUCUUUAACUGAAACUAGAGCAUUUCCAGCUGUUCAAUACUCUUUCUAUUUCGUAUUUACAACUCUAAUUUCUUUCUACUACAAAUGAUUUUUCCCUCAUUCCACCACAGAUAAUUUGUUCUUUAGUUUCAUGCAACAUCAAAACUAGAUCGAUUGUAAAGAAUAUCAGGUUAAUACUCUGAGUUAUGAACUUACGAUCAGUCUGAUCUCCCCCAGAAUGAAAUGAUUGAAACUCAAACUUUGAUUAGAGUUCAUAACAGACGGCAAUCAAAAGUAAAACAUGAAUAUUGAAAGAUUUAGCUUAAGGCCACUUUCUCUCUUCUUUGCAAUAAUACAAAAGCCUAAAAGUUAAACAUGAAUUAGAGUCAGUGAACCAUUGUUAUUGGUGAUUUGGAAUAACCGGCGACGUGAACGUUGCGUGUUCACCAAUAUCAUGAGGUGUGAGGUAAAAUUAUUCUUCCUACUAGAAAAAACAUGUAUUAGAGAGACCAUUACCGGAUUAGUUCGUGUUUUCUUACAAUCAUAAUCAAAAGGAGUUGAAACUUUGAAAGGUAUGAAUGAAGAGGUUGGAAGUGCUACUAUAAUGAUCUUUCUAGUCCUUUUGAAAUCACUAUUUUCUUUUGCUCAUAUUUAUUUCCUUUUACCCUUCAUGGGUCCCUAUAAAACACAACAGGUUCAAUAAUUUCAGGCUUUCCAGUAUGUUUGAUGCCUUGAUGGUCCUCCAUUCCCAACACUAGUGAGGAAUCAUGUAGUGAAUAGAUUCAAAAUCUACUCUCAUAAACAUAAAACUCUCUUUCAUCAAUCAUUCAAUUGACAGUAGAUGUAAUCUUUGAUAUAAAAAAGCUGGAGGAUUUUUUGUUAAACUAAGUUUUCUUCCUAUGCUGAAUAAGUAUAUUUCAUUAAUCUCUUACUCAUAUCAGCAAAGAUUUUUCAGUUUCCAAGAGGUAUUCUUUGAAUCUAAUUAGUUCUUCAGUCUAUUAAGAUGUCAGUCAACCUCAAACUCAGACACAAGAACUGCAUCAUUGUAGCUUCUAUCAUCAAAUAAUUUUUUUUCUUGUAGAUUAACUAACAUACACAUAAAUUUGCUUUCAACAAAUUGAAGCAGGUAGAAUUUGUUUAUGUACAUCAUCAUCUAUCAAAAAGUUUCUACAAACAAAGUUCAGAUUCAUUAUAAUCCUUCCUAAUCUACAUACUCAGUAAUAUAUGUCAGAUCCAGGCAACAAUACAACAUAUAUCAGUGGAAGCAGUACAGCAAAUGCUUCAUCUUGAGUUCUUGAUAUUAAGGUGAGACAAAAACUUAUAAUAUAAGGGAAGGGCAUUAAGAAUUAUAGAUCAUAUUUAGCAUAACAUGAUGGAGACACAGCCCAGUUUAUUACCAUAUAUAUCAAGCAAGCAUUAGUAUUAACUUGGAUGCAAAUGCCAACUACAAUUGGUUAUACAUUACUAAUAGGAUGAACACAUAAGUAAGAAAGAAGGCUCAAGAUUCAAAAUACGUGCUUUCAUGCGCUUUGAAUCUGAUAUAUGAAGAUAGCUCAACUGCAUUGUCACUCUUUCUUCUCUUCCUUCUUCUCUUCCUUGGGAGCUUCAACCUUCUUCUCUGCCUUUGCUGCUUCCUUGGCUGUAGCCUGCACCUUGGCUUUGCCCUUCUUUGGCUUCAUGAAGCAGAAGCAAGAGCAGCAAGGACACUGAAAUAAGAACUUCAUAGCUUCACCUUCUUUGCUCUCAAGUAGCUAGUCCUGAGAAUUAUUUCUCAUGUAUAGCAAAUGUUGAACUUCACCUUCCUUUUCUAUCUACUUCCUUAUCUAACUAUUUAUGUUGUGUGCUUUAUCAAAACAAAUAUAAAAAUGUAACAAUACACACUGGAUUCCACUUCAAUCACUAUCAACAAGGAAGAUGCCUGCCUAAUAAUGCCAGAGCUAGCAGUGGGACUAGGGUCUGUGGGGUUAGCCAUGGAUCCAUGAUCAACAUAAGUUACAUAAUGCAGCUAACAGUCUAAUACUAAUAGGAACUGUUCUUGAUUGCUUUUUCUAACUCCACAGAUUCAUGAUCCCUGUUAGGAAAUAAAAGCACAAUAUAUUUCAAUGUCUCAUACUAGGUUGAUCAAACUGACUUUAGUGGAUAUGAUACUGAGUUUUGUGAAUCCAUGAAUUUGACUGUUUACAAACCUUCAAAACUUGGGUACUGGUAUAUACACAGCUGAAUCAAUUAGUUGAAUGAUCAAAACACCUCAAGUAUGGGUCUAAAUUUAUUCCCAGAAUGAAGAAACAAGAAUAAAGUAUAAGUGGAAAUAUUCUAUCACCAUUAUGUUACCUUUAACUUAUUCAACCCUGGGAAAAAGUUUGGCAAACACAUAAUGCGAACCUCAUGGUGAUUUUACGUUAGAGUUUGACUUUGGAUCCAUUAUGCCUCCAUUGCCUUCGAGUAAAGGUGAGGGAGCCAUGUGAUUGUGAAUCACUAGAGGAGAGAAUGCAUUUGAUUGAUCAAUUCAGUUGUCAUUAUCACUACCUGAUGGCCACCUAUCUGCAACCAUGUUUUGGCUCCAUGGGGUCAGAAUUCCUUUGUCAUAUGACUGUAUCAAAUGCCAAGGAUGUAUAAGAAUACUUCCUAGCCAUAUCAAGAAUUUCAUUGCAUCAGUUUACAGGCUUGUGAAACUUUUAUGAAAAGAAAGGCAAUACAAGCUAUACAAUCAGUUUACAGGCUUUGAAAACAUUCUUCUAUCAAGUUCUCCCUCUCUAUAAUGUAAGAUACCUAAUGUUUACCACCCAUGAUUGAUAUCCCACUUAAAGUUGAUGUGCUUAAGACAGUAAACAACACACGGUAAACUGCUUGGCAGCCAACAUUUGUUGCAUCGUUAUUCCAAGGGAACUGCCAGGACCAUAUAGAGAACCAGUUUGCUAUUCCGAGUAAGCCCAGAAUUCAAAGCUUGGGAGAAGGUUUUAUUGCCUUGGGCAUUUGACGAUAAUCGUAUACCCCAAUACCUCGUUUUCUUCCGAGCCGACCUGCAUCAACAUACUGUACAAGAAGUGGGCAGGGAGCAUAUUUAUUGUCGCCAAGGUCAGCAUGGAGAACUUUCAUAAUUGAUAAGCAGACAUCUAAUCCAAUGAAAUCUGCAAGCUCUAAAGGACCCAUUGGAUGAUUUGUUCCCAACUUCAUUCCCACAUCGAUAUCUUCCUUUGUUGCCACACCAGUAUACAGUGUAAAAAAUGCUUCAUUUAUCAUCGGCAUCAGGAUCCUAUUCACAACAAAGCCGGCAUAAUCUCGAGAGCAUAUUACUGUCUUCCCAAACCUGCCAGUAGAACUGAAGAGUUAAAGCCUAUCCCACAAAUGGGAAGAUAAAGUUUUCACUUUUAUGCAAUGCAAAGUAUCCAAGUGAAUAACCUUUCUGCCAAUGUUUUUGUAGCAUGAAAAGUCUCAUCUGAUGUGUCUGCUCCUCGCACAAUCUCAACAAGUUUCAUUAUAGGAGGAGGGUUCAUAAAGUGCAUGCCAAUCACCUGAAAAUCACAAUAGUAAUUUGAUUUCUGACUACACAGGUGUGGACAAAAAUAUAAAAAAUAAAUCUUGUAUCUUGUUUAAGUUUCACAAGCUCUACAGAAUCUGAAAAGCAUAAUCUCAGGACCAAAAGUAGAAAGCAUAUUCAGAGCUUAACCUGCUUUGGUCUGCUAGUUGCUGAUGCCAGACGAGUAAUGGAGAUGGAACUUGUAUUUGAUGCCAGUAUGGCUGAACUUUUUGUGAUCUUAUCUAUUUCAAUAAAUAACUUUUUCUUCACAUCUUCAGACUCCACAAUGGCUUCAAUAAUAACAUCUGCUGAAGAUAGUUCUUGCAAGUUUGAGGUAUACCGCAGACGGCCCAAAGCAUCUUUACCAACAGCCUGUUAAAAAGAAGUUCAACAAUGUGUUGAUAAAUUACAAGGAGAACAUCACACUAGUGUAUAUGGAUGAUACACCUAAUACAAUAGGGAAAUGUUCUAUUGGCUCUGUUUCUCAAAAGUUACUUAUGCGAACUGUUAACAAGAGCACACUAUGCCACAAGUGCAAAACUUUUCCAGUGAGACUGUUAGUUUGUUGGGAGUUGUCACUUUGAUCCAUGGCAAAAGAGUGCUGUUUGGUAAAAGUAGAAAGAAACUGAGAGCUUAACUAAACUGAGAACUAGGCUUUACAUGACUGCUCUAGAGUAGAAAUUGGUUGUCUGGAGUAGUUACUUGAGUCGAUUGGCGUUAUAUUCUGCGAAGCUUCUGGUUCUUCACUUGUUUAAACCAUUUUCAGCUAAGAAUUGACCAAAUUUCUCUAUCGAAGCCUCUUGCUUUUAAGUUGGUUUACAAGUUCAAGCUGAAGGAACUUGUGAUGAGGAAUUGUAUUGCAGGACUGAUGAGAUUGAUUUUUCCUUGCAAAUUAAAACCAUAUAUUACAGUAUCAAUUCUGGCCAAUUAUCACGAUUUCAACUUCUGUUUUCUACUUUAUGUUUGCAAGCCUCACCACAUAAUCAGAACCAAAGACCAAUUCUUAUACUAACCACCUAAAGUUGACCCAUCACAAUUUCUAUAACAAAUUGACGGGGUUUUGAGUUCAUCAAAUUCAGCAUAUAAAGAAUGAGAGAAAGAUAUUUAUUGACCUGGGUGAGUUGUCCUUUGGAAACGAGGCGCUGGAUGGAGCUGGAGAUGGACUUGGAGGCUCUGGUCAGAGCACUUGGGUCGGUAUCCAGGAGCCAAGCAUCACAUCCGUGCAUGGCGGCGAGUUGGGCUAUUCCUGAACCCAUUUGGCCGCCGCCCACCACAGCAAUCGUCUUCAUCUCCGAGAUCAUCUGGUGUCCCCACAAAUUCUAACAAACUGUACUCUGUUUUUGCUUCGGGAAAGCAAACAGACCCUGCUGAUCAUAAUCACAACGAAAUGACCGUUUUGUCCUUCAUAUCACAGCUAAUCACGAUAUUGUCACUCAGUUUUCAGUUUAAUGAUCUUUUUACCCUUCCUAUCACCUUUAAUUACGUUUUACCACUUAACUUUUAGUUAGUGUAUAUGUAGGUUUUUAAUGAAAUGACCUUUUCGCCCUUUAGUUUUUUGUCUAAUACCAGUUUUGUCAUUCCUUUCUAACAAAAGUAUAAAACGGUGUAAAAUUUUUUUAAUUUUAUUUUGGUUGAAAAAACGUGCUUGAAAACGUGGAACCUGUAAUAUCCCGGAAAUUUAAUAUUAGUUUCUAAUAUUAUUUGGGAGUUUUCGAGUUGACUUUUUAAUCUGUUGGGUUUCUCGGAAAACUUCCUUCACGGAAGUUGUAGAGCAUGACGAUACGAGUUCGUAAACACGUGGCACGCGUAAAACGGAUUUCGUAUGUGGAAGUUAUGGUCAGCAGAAGUUCGUGGUUUUUCGGGAUUUUUUAGUAUAACUAUGAAAAAAGUUAUAGGGUUCCCUCAGUUUUUGUCCCGCACCACUCUCUCCUUUUUUAUUCUCUCCCGCCUCACCUUCAGUAUCCGAGUUUCCCAGCCAACCCGACCCGGACCCGGUUGACCCGAUCAGGAUUUUCCGGCCAUCUCCGGCCGACCCAGACUACGGCACCGGUCGGAAACUCUUCCUCUCCUCGGCGUGAUCUUCCCUAUGUAGGUGGGUGAAGACGACUCAAGCGGGUUUGAGAGAAUCAAACGCUGCAGUGGAGGGUGGCAGACCAGACUUUGACCCGAGGGCGUUCCGGCCUUGUACGGCGGCGACGGGAGGUGAGGCUACCUAUUUCGUGAAGCUUUCGUCCUUCCUAGAAUGUUUGAACCACCCUUGCAACUCAUUUCUGGGUUUUUGAACCCCAAAUUGCAAAGUGAAGAUCGGAGCUUGCGGCGGCUGUUUCGGGCGGUUUAAGGCCGAGUUGGACUUAGGCUCAGGUAGGAAAAGUGCUUUAUUUGUAGUGAUCUUCAAGUUUGUAGUUGGGUGUUUGGCCAAAUUGUGAAGUUGUAGGGUGGCGCGUGGGGCCCACUCACCGCUGCCGGUGGUGGCGCGUUGGGCAUGGUGUUUAGGUUUAGUUACUUUGGUUAGCUAGUUCUUGUUGUUGUGAGCAUGUUGGUAUAUUAUGAGAUUAGGUUAAGUUUGAACAAGUUUUGCUUGUUAAAUUCUUUGUUAUUGUAGACUUGUGCGAAGUGUUGAGCUAGGAGAAUCCAAAGUUAGGCAGUGGGGGAUUGUGGUUAAGUGUUCGACGACCUUGGGGGGUCUCGGAUGAAGGUUGUCCUUUUUGGGCAAAGCUUGAGUUAAGGCAUGUUAAGGGUGUAAUGUUCUUUUAUUAAGUUGUUAUUAAAGUUAUUAAUUUUUGUUAAUAGGUGACUUGAGGAGUGUGGUUUGGUGUUAUGUUCUUGUGUAGUGCGUGUGAAGACGCAGCUGGAUUUUAGGUGAGUAACAUCUCACCAAGGUCCACUUUCGGACCAAUUAUAUAUAAUUAUUAUGAUGAUGAUUGUGAUGUUGAUUUUGGAGAUGAUUAUGAUGAUGAUUGUGAUAUUGUUUUUGAGGAUGAUAAUUAUUAUGAUGACGAUGGUAAUGGUUUUGAUUGAUGAUUAUGAUGCUAUUUUUAUAUUGUGAGUAAAUCUCACAUGGGUUCUUAAGGAACCGAAAUUUACUUUAUAAUUUUGUUUUAUUAAUUGUGAAAUUGUCCUUGAAAGAAAAAUGAUUUUGUUUUUAAAAAUAAAUGAGCUUGAUCGUCAACGGCUCAUGGUAAGUAAAAACAAGUUUUCUGUUAAAAAUAAAUCUUUCAAAAAGACUUCGAUCAUGUGAUAUGGUGAUGUUGAAAUAUGGUUGUUGAUAGAUUAUUUUAGUGGGAAUAUCUAUGUCUUUGUUUAUAUAAAUAUAUCUAGGUGGAAAGAUAUAAUUUAUGAAGUGCUCUUGUGAUGUUGUUGAUGAUAUUUUUAUAUUUGAAUUGUUGUUUAAAUAGUCAAACCGGGUUCCUAGCCUUUAAUCGGGUGAUAGGUUACGGUUAUGAUUAUAUUUUUAUUUUGUGAUUUGAUAAGUGUUAUGAUGGGAGAGUAUUGGAAUGUGUGCCUUAGUGGUGAUUGUGUGCAUUAGUUGUGUAUGUGUGUGCCUUAGUGGUGAUUAUUAGAUUAGGAGCCUUCGUGAUGGACCGGGAACCAAGCCUUGGCCGGGUGAUUGGUUACGGUCAGUAUAGAGCUCUAGUCUGUCAGUCGGUACUUCAUGGGGGAUGACUAAGUGUUGACGAACCCAUGAGUACGCAUUUGUUUGGUUACUUAUGGGGGAUGACUAAGUGUUGGCGAACUCAUAAGUAGGAGUAGAGAAAUGUUUGUGUGAUGUUCUUAUAUGUUGUUUAAAUUUCAUGCUUUGAGUAUCUCCUGAACUAUGCUUAUCCGCAGGAGAUGCUUAAAUCUUAAUUGUGUGAUUUUAAUAGAAUUCUUGAACUAUGUUUAUUUAUAGGAUUCAUUUAUGAUUUUGAGUGAUUUUAAAUUAUUGUGUUUUUUUUUAAUUGUUUCUUUUGAAUUCUCUUGUUUUUAGGCGAUUCCUGAACUAAGUUGCUAAUGCAGGAAUUACCAGUUUUAAUUAUAUGUGAUGUUGGGAUUGUUGGGUUAUUAUUUUGGGAGUUACUCAUACGAGCUUUUUAGCUUACCGGGUUUGUUGUUUAUAACCCGGUGCACCAAUUCAUGAUGUAGGGGUUAGACCUGCAGGUGAUGAUCAGAAGGUUUGAGGCAGUGGCCUAGGAGCUGGGUUUUGACUAAAUACAUUUAUUUGUAUUUUAUGGUAGUUGUUUUUAAACUCUUGUGAGCGAAGUAGUUUAUUACUAGACUUUUGGAAGUUGAUGUAAUUAAGGAGAUUAAAUGUUUAACUCGGUUGAUGAGUUUAUCGACAUUUACAUUUCCAGUAUUUGUUUUUAGUUUUUGAAAUUGUUGAGCAGGUUAUGGGAUAUUUAGAAUUUGAGUUUUAUCAUGCCCAAAUUUUUGAAAUUUUCGAAGGAUAAAUUUCGAAAGGUGACAGAACCCAAAUGAUGGUUAUGUUCCUGCUUUAAUGAAAUGACCUUUUUUCUUAGGAACAGUGUCCGUGGGACCCAAAUGACGGUUAUGUCUCUGUUUUUUUGUUUAAUUACAGCUCUUACCUGUGAGGCUAAAAUGACGAUUUCGUCUCUAUUUUUUUGUUUAAUUACAACUCUGUCAUUGAGAAACUUCAUGAAAUGACUGAUUUACCGUUUAGUUGUUGCCCAAUAUCAAUUUUGCCAUCUUCUUACACGUUCGAACCCCGCAGUUCGACGCGGGUACAAAUCCUAUUGGUAAGGUAGAACGAGGACAUUUACGAAUACGAUGUGUGUUUUGGGUAGGACUGGAUUAGGCCAGGUCUAGUCUGCUCUACACAAAAACAAGUAAUAGGAGGGAGUUGUUAUAAAUAUUAUAAUAUAUGUGGCUGUCUACGUAAUUACUCAUUAGUUAUGUACUUUAAUGUAAAUCCUACCUCUAUAUAAAGAGGCUAAUUGAUAGGUGCAUUUUAUGCAACGUUCUUAAUGUAUUUCCGACCCUAUUUAGUUAUGUAAUUCCUUUAACAAUAUUGAUUUUAACUUAGUUUGUGUUUUUAGGUCACAAAUAAAGCCGAGGAGCACAAAAGAGGCAAAAGAGGAGAAAUCUUGAAGGAAAAGGAAUCCAUAUGGCGCAAGGAAAGAAAUCAGAAAAUCUGCCAGGAAUAGUCAGUCAAUUUCGACAGAGAAUUGUGAUCAGCUCACAACGAUCCAGGAGAUGAACUUUAUAUCAGCAGAAAGCUAGAAGAGUCUAGUUUUCAGAACUUUUCGCAGAUCGUCAAUAGCUAUUUUGGUGACCAAGUUAUGACCGUUUGAGUGACCAAAGGUCAGUCUGCCCGAAUUUCUGAUUUGGACCGGAACUUCAAUUUCAAGGCCCAGACCACAACGGCGAGCCCAUGGACGAAAAUUAAAGGUUCUCUAACCCUAAUAGCAGCUGUUCAUAUGUUCUCUAUAUGUAUGAGGUGUAAUACCCUAGAUUUUCAUUUCUAUUUUCCUUAUUUUAUUCCCUUAUUUUAAUGAAGGAUUAUUCAUGAAAAUUCUUGGGUUUAUGCGAAGUUGAAGUUCGGGAGUUUAUUUAAAGUUGCCUUGACUUUUAAUAGGCCAAAAGUUGACUUUAUUUUCCGUAAGUUAUCUUCGAAAACUUCCUUCAUGAAAGUUGUAGAGCUUGUCGAUACGAGUUCGUAGACAUGCGGCACGUCUAAAACGGAUGUCGUAUGAGAAAGUUAUGGUCAGAGGAAGUUAGUUCCGGGUUUGGAAAGUAUAUAUAAGUAGAAAAAUGUGUGGGAGUUAUUUUUUGUAAGCCCUAAAGUUGCAGCAGCCAGUUUCCAGUUCUCUCUCCUCUCUCCCGCUCUCCCACGCUCUCAUUCUUCUCCGGUUGAUUUCUCCCUCAUCCGACCACCCAAAUUGGACGCCGCCUGUUCCGCUGGACUNNNNNNNNNNNNNNNNNNNNNNNNNNNNNNNNNNNNNNNNNNNNNNNNNNNNNNNNNNNNNNNNNNNNNNNNNNNNNNNNNNNNNNNNNNNNNNNNNNNNNNNNNNNNNNNNNNNNNNNNNNNNNNNNNNNNNNNNNNNNNNNNNNNNNNNNNNNNNNNNNNNNNNNNNNNNNNNNNNNNNNNNNNNNNNNNNNNNNNNNNNNNNNNNNNNNNNNNNNNNNNNNNNNNNNNNNNNNNNNNNNNNNNNNNNNNNNNNNNNNNNNNNNNNNNNNNNNNNNNNNNNNNNNNNNNNNNNNNNNNNNNNNNNNNNNNNNNNNNNNNNNNNNNNNNNNNNNNNNNNNNNNNNNNNNNNNNNNNNNNNNNNNNNNNNNNNNNNNNNNNNNNNNNNNNNNNNNNNNNNNNNNNNNNNNNNNNNNNNNNNNNNNNNNNNNNNNNNNNNNNNNNNNNNNNNNNNNNNNNNNNNNNNNNNNNNNNNNNNNNNNNNNNNNNNNNNNNNNNNNNNNNNNNNNNNNNNNNNNNNNNNNNNNNNNNNNNNNNNNNNNNNNNNNNNNNNNNNNNNNNNNNNNNNNNNNNNNNNNNNNNNNNNNNNNNNNNNNNNNNNNNNNNNNNNNNNNNNNNNNNNNNNNNNNNNNNNNNNNNNNNNNNNNNNNNNNNNNNNNNNNNNNNNNNNNNNNNNNNNNNNNNNNNNNNNNNNNNNNNNNNNNNNNNNNNNNNNNNNNNNNNNNNNNNNNNNNNNNNNNNNNNNNNNNNNNNNNNNNNNNNNNNNNNNNNNNNNNNNNNNNNNNNNNNNNNNNNNNNNNNNNNNNNNNNNNNNNNNNNNNNNNNNNNNNNNNNNNNNNNNNNNNNNNNNNNNNNNNNNNNNNNNNNNNNNNNNNNNNNNNNNNNNNNNNNNNNNNNNNNNNNNNNNNNNNNNNNNNNNNNNNNNNNNNNNNNNNNNNNNNNNNNNNNNNNNNNNNNNNNNNNNNNNNNNNNNNNNNNNNNNNNNNNNNNNNNNNNNNNNNNNNNNNNNNNNNNNNNNNNNNNNNNNNNNNNNNNNNNNNNNNNNNNNNNNNNNNNNNNNNNNNNNNNNNNNNNNNNNNNNNNNNNNNNNNNNNNNNNNNNNNNNNNNNNNNNNNNNNNNNNNNNNNNNNNNNNNNNNNNNNNNNNNNNNNNNNNNNNNNNNNNNNNNNNNNNNNNNNNNNNNNNNNNNNNNNNNNNNNNNNNNNNNNNNNNNNNNNNNNNNNNNNNNNNNNNNNNNNNNNNNNNNNNNNNNNNNNNNNNNNNNNNNNNNNNNNNNNNNNNNNNNNNNNNNNNNNNNNNNNNNNNNNNNNNNNNNNNNNNNNNNNNNNNNNNNNNNNNNNNNNNNNNNNNNNNNNNNNNNNNNNNNNNNNNNNNNNNNNNNNNNNNNNNNNNNNNNNNNNNNNNNNNNNNNNNNNNNNNNNNNNNNNNNNNNNNNNNNNNNNNNNNNNNNNNNNNNNNNNNNNNNNNNNNNNNNNNNNNNNNNNNNNNNNNNNNNNNNNNNNNNNNNNNNNNNNNNNNNNNNNNNNNNNNNNNNNNNNNNNNNNNNNNNNNNNNNNNNNNNNNNNNNNNNNNNNNNNNNNNNNNNNNNNNNNNNNNNNNNNNNNNNNNNNNNNNNNNNNNNNNNNNNNNNNNNNNNNNNNNNNNNNNNNNNNNNNNNNNNNNNNNNNNNNNNNNNNNNNNNNNNNNNNNNNNNNNNNNNNNNNNNNNNNNNNNNNNNNNNNNNNNNNNNNNNNNNNNNNNNNNNNNNNNNNNNNNNNNNNNNNNNNNNNNNNNNNNNNNNNNNNNNNNNNNNNNNNNNNNNNNNNNNNNNNNNNNNNNNNNNNNNNNNNNNNNNNNNNNNNNNNNNNNNNNNNNNNNNNNNNNNNNNNNNNNNNNNNNNNNNNNNNNNNNNNNNNNNNNNNNNNNNNNNNNNNNNNNNNNNNNNNNNNNNNNNNNNNNNNNNNNNNNNNNNNNNNNNNNNNNNNNNNNNNNNNNNNNNNNNNNNNNNNNNNNNNNNNNNNNNNNNNNNNNNNNNNNNNNNNNNNNNNNNNNNNNNNNNNNNNNNNNNNNNNNNNNNNNNNNNNNNNNNNNNNNNNNNNNNNNNNNNNNNNNNNNNNNNNNNNNNNNNNNNNNNNNNNNNNNNNNNNNNNNNNNNNNNNNNNNNNNNNNNNNNNNNNNNNNNNNNNNNNNNNNNNNNNNNNNNNNNNNNNNNNNNNNNNNNNNNNNNNNNNNNNNNNNNNNNNNNNNNNNNNNNNNNNNNNNNNNNNNNNNNNNNNNNNNNNNNNNNNNNNNNNNNNNNNNNNNNNNNNNNNNNNNNNNNNNNNNNNNNNNNNNNNNNNNNNNNNNNNNNNNNNNNNNNNNNNNNNNNNNNNNNNNNNNNNNNNNNNNNNNNNNNNNNNNNNNNNNNNNNNNNNNNNNNNNNNNNNNNNNNNNNNNNNGAUUUCUCUUGCCGUGCCUUCUCCUCUGUAAUUCUCGGCGUAGUUCCUUGUUUCAAUACUCAAAGUGUAAUCUAAACUCAGACCUCAUGUUUUCUUUUAUUAUCUAUUCAAUUACUUUUAGUUUGUUUCCAUCUCUCUUAUUCGUUUGUGUUCAUGAGUUGGAUUUUUGAUUGAGUUUGUUCUUAUAAUCAUGAAAAUCAGAUCUAUACACUUGAGUUGUUGGUGUAAUUCAUGAUGCUUUUGAUGAUCUAAAUUAUGUUUAUAUGUGUGAUUGACAACUUAUGACUUGUUCUUAAUCAAUAUGUGCCAUUGUUUGUGUUAAGUCCGCGUCGGUAAACAUGAACUAGAAUGGUAAGGAGUUAUAGGUUGCAUGCUAGGAUGUUUUUGAAGUCCGCGUCGGUGAAUUACAUUCUAACAUGUUCAAGUUCUUCCUUUGAUCUAUUUUGGAUAUGAAGUCCGUGUCGGUACAUAUCUAUGAGAGGUUAGAAGGGUUUUGAGUAGUUAAGUCCGUGUCGGUAAAUUACUUGAAACAUGGAAUUUGAUUCGUUUCUCCAUAUGCAUGAUUUAGGUUGUUAGGGUUGAAAUUACAUAGCUAUUUGAUUAUAUGAAUCUGAUUUAGUGUUUUCUUGUGUGCAAAGAGACGAUCACAUGUAUAUAGUAGCUUAGGUUUUUGUUUCUUUUUAGUUUAGGAUUUUCGUCACUCUUCUGUUCUGUGUUUUCUUUUAUUUUAUUUUCAUAUCAAACGAUCUCCGAAUCCCCUGAAAAUUUGUACAGUAGUUCCUCUGUGUGUCUAGUAGAUCUCUGUAAAUUUUCAUAUUUUUCUGAGUAGUUUAGGUUAGGUUUUUAAUUAGGUUUUCGACUGCUGUUCUAUGGAACAGUAGCUACUUUUGUAAAUUGUUUAAAUGUUUUAUUACUUGUUAAUAUUUGUUGUGUUUUUCUAACGCUUUGUUUUGCAAGGUACCCUCAAUCCCCGGCCCUAUACGAUACCCUACUUACUCAAUGUUACUAACGAUAAAAAGGGUUUAUUUGAUGCAGGUUUUGCACUCGUCACUAAUGAGAAUGAAUGAGUAGACUUUUAUCUCCUCCCAACUAUUCUCUCUGCGUCUUCUAUUCUAUCUUUUCUUUAUUUUAUAAUAUGUUAUCAUCACGGCUAAACAUUUUUUUUUUCUCUCCUUAUCUCUAACUCGAUGAUGAUAUGAAAGCCUGGAUAUAACUUUGUUGUUUUUCAUCGAUCGGGUACUCUUCAUCUAUGUGUCUCAAUUUCCAUAAAUCAAUUAUUAGUUUUCUCAAUUUCUGUUAGUUCAAGUACUAAAUAUAAUUGGCAGCAAUUCGAACAUAUGAUCAUCAAUUUUCUUUUUCUUUUUUUUACUGUUAACGAUAACAAUUAGGAUGAUGGGUGUUUGAUACCAUACCUAACUGUAUUCAUUAUCUUGCAAUUUCAUUAUUGUACUUAUUGUUUAAAUUUUAUUGUUAUUCAUACGGGCCAUCAGCCUUAUAUCUUGAACGUAUGAAGUGUCACUUGGGUUACUCGAGCCUGAAGUUUCGAGCACUUGAAUUAUUUGAACCCGAAGUUUGACAUACGAAAUAUGAGAACCUAUCAUUCUAACAUUAUAAAUUCGAACCUGAAGGUUCGAUUUCACAUAUGAUUGAUGGUUCCAGAUUAGCAUCCACUUUGAAUUAAGCGUCUCCAAUGCGGUUCAAAAUCGAUUAAUAUAUGAUAUAGAUUGUGCCAAAUUUUACAGUGAAUUAAGACAUAUAAUAUCAUGAACCAGAAGUUCAUUUAACCAAAUACAUUAUUUGGCAUGACAAGUUAUGUCAUAUUGUACUUAUAGUGUUGCCUGGAAUCAAUAACAAAUUUUGAUGAUCACUAGCCCUACUUAUAGCCAAUUGUUUAUUUGUCGCAUAUUUUUGAGUUGUCACUUUAAUGAGACAAUCCUCCCAUCAUGAGGGGGAGAGGGAUUGUUCCUGAAGAACGAUGUAGAGUGGUGAGAGUUGUUUAUCCACCUUCUCAUUUUGAUUUUGAGAAAUGUCUCAGCUAGUGAUUUGAUAAAAGAUCUUGACAAACGUAUAUGCUAAAAGCAUAGGCAUCAGCAUGGAUUAAAGUCUAUGACCAUCCAUAUUAACUUAAAUACUCUAUACCCCAUUUGAUUUGUGGGAUACACAUGUAUCCAAGUGACAUGGUUCUCCUGAAGAGAAUGUCAUGAUACAAUGUUAGAGUUUCUAAUACGGCUACACAUACAAAGGUUGUAUGUACGCCAUUAGAGAAUGAUAUCUUGGUUGAUAUUAAUGAAUAUAAUGUUUUUGACCUCAUACUUGGUUUAGGUUUGCCACCAGCCAAUGAAAAUCUCACUCGAAAGAAAGUGAUAGAUCUUUAGACGUAAUAUAUGCUCACGGUCAAAAUAAGACAGUCUUCCCGCCAUUAGGGGGAGAAUAAGACUACUGUCAUUUGAAUAAUGGCGUGAAUUUGAGUGGAAUGUAUCCACUAGGUAUAAAGUUUUAAGGUCCUGAAAAUUGAAGAUUAUAGAGGUCUUCUAAUGGUCUACAUGAUAUUACAAGUAAAAGAUCCACAUUCGCUAGAUAAUAUUUGUCCUAGAAGUAACAAUAUUUGCCCUAAAAGUGGCAUGGGUACCCAAUAUAAAAAAUGCAUGCAUAUAAGAAUGUGUGGGAUUUAUGAAUGAUGAUCAUCUAUGACAAUUUACAAAUAGUAGCUACCAAAGACCAUUAAGAACUGUAUUAAUCGAUCUUAUUCCACGUUUCAUUAUGCAUAUCAACAAAACAUAUUAUUGGCUAAAUUGGAAAUAGACAAUUCCAAUGAAACUAAAUAUUUGAAACGUGAUGAGAUACUUUGACCUUUAACCCUACAUGAUACAAAAGGGUAUUAAUUAUAGUGAAAAUAAAUCACUAUGGCAUAAUGUCUACAAGAGACAUGGGGAUUGUAAAUAUCUUUCCUUAUACGUGACAAUUUUAUGUAAGUACAGUGUUACAUAAUAAAUGUAGUUGUUAUUGACGAGAAACUUACGACAUUUGUCCUUGUAUAUUAUAAGGAUCGUAAAAGACACAUUGCUAGAAGCAAAUUCCCAAAAAUAAAGUGUCAUUACAAGCGUAUCGCUUGUCAAAUUCUUAAAUGACUCAAGUACAUGAAUGAUUCAAGUACAUGAAUGAUUCUAAUGUAAUUCAAUCCAUGAAUACUUAAAAGAGCCUAAAGCUACUUCAUGGAAUCAAAUAGUCUAAAGUUAGUUUAUAUAUACUCAUUCCGUUAUAGCUAACGUGUUCGAAAUUACCUCAAUGAGUACUAUGAUCGAAUUAUACAAUCGAAUUUGAAUUAUGAUCAUUAUAUUGCAACAUAUUCUAACUCUUGGGAAGUUAUGAAUUACUCAGAGAUCUUGAAGAGCUUAUAUGAGACAUAUCACUACACAAAGAUAUUAAUGUGUAUGGCUAGAUACGCCAUGAGAUAUUUCAAUGUUUUAAUGCCAAUUUGCUUAUCUUGUUUAGCUAUUGCUUAGUGUAUGAAUUGGUCAUAUGACUCAAUGAGGUAAGACCUAUUUAUAAUCAUUUAGAUUUGUUGGUAUUGUUUUAACUUUACAGGUACACAAUUUAUGAUAAGCCCCUAUAUGCAAAACACGCAUGGUCUCACUUUAAUAAUGAACAAAUCAAACUGUUAUUUAUGGCGCAUCAAGCUUGCAACGUUCAGGGGCGAUUCUUAUCAAGGGGAGCAUUCAGAAGUAUGCUACUUAAGACAUAUGCGCGUUGUACUCUUUUUCUCCUUCGACCAGUGUUAUUUUUCUUCCACUGGGUUUUUCUUACCUGACAAGGUUUUUAACGAAACAACAUUAAGCACAUUUAAUUUCAUCAUUCAUUGGUGGACAUCCAAUGGGGAGUGUUAUAAAUAUUAUAAUCUAUGUGGCUGUCCACGUAAUUACUCAUUAGUUAUGUACUCUGAUGUAAACUCUACCUCUAUAUAAAGAAGUUAAUGAGAAUGAAUGAGUAGACUUUUACCUCAUCCCAACUAUUAUCUCUGCGUCUUCUAUUCUAUCUUUUCUUUACUUUAAUUACAAUAAGAGUUUAUUAUCUUUUAUAUUUUUAGAAGCUAAGAAAUUUCAUUAAUUUGAAGGAAUACUAAAAGAUGAGGAUGAUGAGGAUGCAUAUGUCUUCUACUCUACCAUGAGCCGAUUGAGGCUCAACUCU
rnacentral:lncRNA from 1 species